AGGGCAUACACUUGCCAUCUGUUAAGAACAUAUCAUAUAGCUUACAGACACACAUUAUUCAGAGUAGCAGCAAGUCCAGCUACGGACUUUAAACAGAAAAACAGAUGAUCUAACACAUCCCGUAUGAUAGCCCACGAUCACGACCACAACCUCAGUCUUCCGGAUAGUUCACAUACAGAUGGCCAGAGUCCUCAUCGAACUCCCACUUCAACUGGUUGUCAUCAGGAUCUCGUGCGUCGGGCGUACCUGUACCUGUUGGGGUUUGUAGGAAUCUGUGAGCCACGGGGACUCAGCAGUCUAAUGACCUUGGUACUGAAUCUAGUCAAGUUAUUAGGUGAGGAAGGUUUAGUGUAUGGGUUUGCAGCAACCUAAGCUUAUAUGGUGGCUAACUUAUGAUAAUCAGAGUAAUCAUAUGGUAGUCUACGCGAGCGGUCGAAGACUAGAUUGAUCACUUAGUGAUCCUGAACACCUACCUACGUCAAACAUAACCCCACCGUGUUCUCGACUAGAGAACGAUCUCCGGAGGAGACAGUCACGGUUACGCACACAGUUGGCAGUUUUAUUAGAAUUAAUUCAAGUUGUCUAGAACCGUAUGUUAACAAAAUAUCCACAUUUUCCACAUAACCGUGGGCAUGGCUUUCCGAAAUAUUAAACCCCGCAGGGGUGCUCCAACUAGUCCAUCACAAACUGCCACGGGCCACAAAGUCAUCCUCUAUCACGAAACUCGUGAUCUUGUCGGAUUCCUUAGAGGAAAACCUCAACUUUGAGGAGACCCAAAGUUUCACCGGAAUCCCUAUACGCAAGAUAUAUCGCUAAGGUAAGACAAAUAUAGCAGGACCUCCCGUCGUGUUGACGACCCCGAUAAGAGCCGAGUAUCUCAGUCUCAGGACACGACGAAUGAGCGAUGGUUACCACGCCAAAACACCGAGUUGCCCCGGGGAGCGUAAUAAGCUGCUCUGGGUUGGACCAACACUCAUGAGGAGCACUGGCCUAGAUUGUUGAUUAAAUCCUCGGGGUAGCUAUUCCCUAUGCAAAUUAUUAUUAGGUGAUUAGCAGAUUAAAACCAAUGUUGGGUCAUGCCGGACAAGCCUUAACACUACACGAUUUAUCAAGGGGGUCCCCAUAACAAUCCCGAACGUGUUAGGAGCGAUCAGUUAUGGAAUCAAAUACCAGUAAUCGAAUCUAAGGCGGCAACAACAACACAAAUCACCCGGCAAAAGGCUAGGCCUUUCGUUAUUUACCAAGUAUAUAGGUGCAUUAAUUAAAUAGCAGUUUAAACAUAAUGAUAUCAAUAUACUCAUCUUAUCACAUGAGACAGCUGGCACCUACAACUAGCAAAGCUACACAUUAAGAGUUUAACAAGCCUACUUAGCCAAACAAUAUUUGCUAGGAAAGUGAGGUGUUUGGGGUUCAUGGCAAAGACAGGAGGCAGUUAUAUCAAGUGGUAGGCAGCGAGCAUGUAACGAAGGAAACAUGAUUCUAAGCAUAACAAAGCUAGAUACGGUAUCAAGGUCACGGUCAUCAUGCCUGUGAUGUCUUCAGCUUGGAACUUCUCUUGAUCUUCCUGCACGUACUCUCUAGAAUCCACGUACUCACUCUCCGAUCCCGAUGCUACCCAAGAUAAGAUAACAGCCAAUGAACACCAACACAAUAUGAUGCAACAAGAAAUAUGAUGCAUGUGUGAAGAAGGAAGCAUGCAUCACUAUUCUAGUCACUUUCAUAUGCAUUAGUUGAGUUAAUUGAAUUCUGGACAGAACCUCAUAUUAAGUUAUCUUUACAUGCAUGAAUAUGGCAUGAACAUGUGCAUCACGAGAAAACGAUGCAAAAACAUAUAAAGAACGUAGAGAACGGAGCUACGGAUCAACCGGAAACUACAAAACAAGAUAUGGAGACCUCGGUUCAAAUCAGCCACAAACACACUCCAAUGGCACUCCCUUGGUGUUACCAGGUUGCCACAUGAUCAAGCAACAUAAUAUAAGUGGGGUGGUGCAUGGGAGCACACCACACCAUGAACAAUGCCCACACAAACUUCGAAUCAACAAAAGCAUGCAAUCUGUUUUCAACAGCAUCAUAGCAGUUUGUCUACAAUAUUUAAAGUAGCUACAACCAUCUAAAUGAAGCAAGCAAGAUAUGAGGCAAAAUCCAUCCAAAAGCUCCACAACCCUGAACAAGAAGUUAAUACAAAGGAAUCACCCAUGAGUAGAUCUAUGGACACAAACUUGGACAAAAUAUCACAAAUUCUGGGACUUAGUGAAAAUCACAGAUUUUCACCAGCUGCUUAUGCUGUGAGCAUUUUGGCAGCCUCCAAAAUGAUAUCUACAGGAAGUGAAAAAGCAUGAAAUUUAAUAGGGAGGUAGACAAACAUAAAAUCUCACAAACUUUAGUUUGUUGCAUGGGUUGAUUCCCAACACAGGAGGUAAUUCAACCAAGACAACAGGGGAAGAAAAUAACAUCAGAUUCCCAGACUUAGUGAAAAUCACAAGGUUUCACAAAUCUGUCAGAUUCAGCCAAGUGUCCACUUUGACAAGGCACAAUAGGUGCACACAAAUUCCCAAGAACAAAACAAAGACCCAUGAUGUAGAGGGGUUCACCCACUACUACUACAUCAAGGAUUCAUCCUCAAAGGGUCAAGGUACCACCUAAUACAAAGCACUAAACAUGGCACCAUGACAGAAAAUAACAGUUUUAUGAAGUUGCUCUAAAGUGAAAUGUGAUUGCACCAAUGGAUUCCUGGGAUGAUUAUACCCCAAAAUCGUAUAUAAUACAUGGGUACUUGCAUGUAGCAUCAAUGCACAAAGCUAGCUCGAAAAUAUCACCUAGAAUCCAAUAUGCUAUAUAUGAAUAACAUCACAUGUAAACUAACUCAUAUUGCACAUCUACACCUACACAUGCACACCCACAAGCUCUAUACACAACAACCACUACUGGAAAACAGUUUUUUGCCAUCUGCCAAAUCUUUGCCUUCUGCUAGUUGAUGGCAAAGAGUGUCUUUGCCGCCAGCUUCCACAAAGCGGAUGGCAAAGCUGAUGGCAUAGAGUGUUUUUGCCAUCAGUCACAUCUUUGCCAUCAGCUAGCAGACGACAAAGAGUCUCACAGCAGAUGGCAAACAUGUAGAUGGUCCCACCUGACCGCGGGGACGUUAGGGCAAUCUGAAGCCCCUUCUUUGCCGUCUGUUAGCGGACGACAAAGAGUCCGGAGGCAGACGACAAAGAGGUAACUCCGUUAACGGCUCUUUGCCCCCAUCCCGCCCCUCUCUCUCUCACCCACGGCUCACCCUGCCCCUCUCUCUCUCCCACUCCUCUCCCCGACGCCCAGCGCCGCCACCACCGUCGCGCCGCCGCCCCUGUCGCCCGCCGCCGCCGCCCCACCGCCCUCGUCACCGCCCCGGUGUCCCACAGCCCCCUGGCGCCGCUACCCCACCUCUCCCCGAUGCCCACCUAAGCCACCACCACCGUCGCGCCGCUGCCCCACCUCGCCCCCGCCACCGCUGCCCCACCACCGUCGCGCCGCNCUUGUUAGUAGUUUUAGUGGUAGAUUUAGUUAGUUGGCAGAUUUAGUAGGUAGCUUAGUGGUAGAUUUUGUUUUGUUAAUUAGUGGUAGCUUGUUAAAUUAGUUAGGUUAGUUAGUUAGCUUGGUUAGUUAGGUGGAGGAGGAGAAGAGGAGAAGAGGAGGAGGAGGAGGACGAGUAGAGGAGAAGAAGAAGAGGAGUAGGAGGAGUAGGAGGAGGAGAAGAAAAAGAAGAAGAAGAAGAGGAGAAGAAAAGAAUAAGAAGGAGAAGAAGAAGAAGAAGGGGAAAUAGAAGAGAAGAAAAAAAAUAAGAAGGAGAAGAAGUAAAGAAGAAGAGAAGAAGAAGAGAAUAGGAAAAAAAUAAGAAGGAGAAGAAGAGACAAAAGAAGAAGAAGUCGAUUUUUUAUUGUUUGGUAUUUAGUGGUAGCUAGAUUCUUUUUUAGUUACUUAGUGAUAGAUUCUGUUUUGGUUAUUUUUUUGUUGUUUAGUGCUAUAUAGGUUUAGCGAUAGGUUUUGUUAGCUCGGUUAGUUAGGUUAGUUAGUUAGCUUAAUAGAAAGAAUAGGAAGAAGAAGAAGAGGAGGAGGAGGAGAAGAGGAGAAGAGGAGGAGGAGAAGAAUAAGAAUAAGAAGAAGAAGAGGAGGAGGAGAAGACAAAAAUAAGAAGGAGAAGAAGAAAAGAAGAAGAGAAGAAGAAGAGAAGAAGAGAAGAAGAAUACCUUCUCCUGCUUCUCCUUCUUCUCCUCCUUCUUAUCCUCCUCCUCCUUAUCCUUCUUAUUGAUUUCUUCUUCUUCUCCUCCUCCUCCUCUUUCUUCUCCUCUAUCUUAUUCUCCUUACCUUAUUUUCCCCAACAAUGAGAUAAUUAGCCCAUUUAGCUACAAAAUGGCAUAAAAACCUUGGUUAGCUCAUGAACAUUAUAUUCUUAACUUGUUUUCCUCUAAAAUGACAUAAUUAGAAUAUUUGUGUUGAUCGGGUGGAUUUACAUGUGAUAGUUGUCUCGUCGCUGUGAGGUCUGCUGUGCGAAGACCUCCCCGUGCGUUCUACAAGCUCCGCCCCGCAUUCAUGGGUUAGUACAAAUUUCAUCUCCUCCUCGCCCCUUCAUUUACUGUGGCUCGGUUUCUGGAUGAAACUUUCUAGAUUUAGGUAAUUAAAUUAAUUUAUCAGUAUGCGUGACCAGUAUGCGUCUCCCGUUCGAAAGGGCGAGAUCUAGAAAUAUGCAUGUCUUUGCAUAUUUAUAACCGCCAUCCUUUCGAAUUGUCCAACAUUAUCCAUGGACAACCCGAGUAUGUGUAGAUUGGGUUUGUUUUCCCGUAUGCUGUGCUCUGGAUCCGAUGUGGAAUUUCGUCAGUGCCUCCCUGUUGUUCUCCGGAUGCACAUCCUCUCUGUUUAUUGCGGAGACGUGUAUCAGGAGAACAGCGGGGAGGUGCUGCCAAAAUUUUGCGUUGAAUCCGGAGCAGAGCAUGGGAAAACGAACCCAAUCUACACAUACUCGGGUGGGAUUAGGACCUAUCUUUACCUAUUAGCGUGUAGGUUGUCUAGACGUAAUAAAAAUGGCGAACCUGAUUAACCGAUGAAUAUAAAUGCUAAAUUAUAUAUAAAUAUAUUUCUUCUGUCUUUAGUAGCUAGGCAAGAUGAGUGAUCGUGCGUGGAUGUAUACCGGUCACCCUAGUCAGAAAGAGAUGACAAAGGAAUGGUUUGUAAAAACAAAGGAAUUUGUGGAAGCCGCAUUUGCAAAUGGCCAGGAAAGAAACUAUUGCCCCUGUCCUGGAUGCGACAACUAUAAAAAGACGACAGAGGCUGUAAUGAUUGAACACCUGUAGAGGAGUGGUUUUAAGCCUAAUUGUACGGUGUGGACAUUUCAUGGUGAGUCUAUACAACAGACAAGAGCUGAGGUGGUCCGUCGUCGCACGGACGAGCAUGGUACCGGGAUCGAAGACAUGGUGCAAGACUUUGAUGAUGCUCGGGAUUCGGAAGAUGAGAUGGAGGAAUCUGCAAAGGCCUUUUAUGAAAUGUUGGAGUCUUCAAAACAUCCUCUCCAUGAGCACACUGAGCUCUGUCAGCUGGAUGCAAUUGCACAAGUAAUGGCUCUGAAGGCUCAGUUCAACUUGGGAAGAGAAUGCUACGACGCGAUGAUGACACUAUUUGGACGCUUCCUACCCAAAGGCCAUGUCAUGCCUGUAAACCUGUACCAGUCGGACAAAAUACUUCGUGUACUUAAGAUGCCCCAUGAGAAGAUAGAUGCAUGUGAGAAAGGAUGUGUCUUAUUUAGGAAGGAGCAUGCACACUUGGACUAUUGUCCCAAUUGCGAGUCUUGCACGUAUCUUGUGGUAGACAACAGUAUGGGUGAGAAGAGGCAGACCAAAAUCGCAGUUAGUGUUCUUCGGUAUAUGCCAAUCGUACCAAGACUUCAACGUCUUUUCAUGGUCAAAGAGACAGCCAGACAGAUGACAUGGCACAAAUUGGGCAAAAGAACCAAACUAGAUGCGGAUGAGAAUAAGAUGGUGGUACAUACAUCGGAUGGGGAAGCGUGGAAACAUUUCGAUGGAUUGCAUCAGGAUAAAGCGGCAGAUCCAAGGAAUCCUCGAGUCUGCAUCGCCACGGAUGGUUUUAAUCCCUUCGGCAUGACGACAACCAAAUAUAGUUGUUGGCCUGUAUUUCUCAUUCCACACAAUCUCCCCCCGGACAGAUUAUGCAAAGAAAGAACAUAUUUCUGACGUUGAUAAUUCCAGGGCCCAAUUAUCCGGGGAAGAAUAUGAAUGUGUACCUGCAGUCGCUUAAGGAUGAAUUGGAAGAUGCUUGGGAUAACGGGGUCAAGACAUACGAUGCCGCUAGAAAACAAAACUUCAAAAUGCAUGUGUGGUACAUGUACUCUAUGCAUGACUUGCCGGCGUAUGCACUAUUCUCUCGAUGGUGUGUGCAUGGAAGGUUCCCGUGCCCCCAAUGCAAGGCAGCUCUUCAGUUUCAUUAGUUGCAGGAGGGUUGGAAGUAUUCUUGCUUUGACUUGCAUAGACAGUUCCUGGAUCCUGACCAUCAGUUCAGAAAAGACAAGAAGAACUUUACCAAAGGUAAAGUUGUCAAAAACUUGGCACCACCUGCGUUGACAGGCCAAUAGAUCCUGGAUCAGUUAAACGCCCUCGAUCCUGAUCCAGAGCAUCCAGGGUAUUUCUUAAGUCCUUCUACGUAGUUUUCUUGAUUUCGUUCAUAGGCGUAGUGCUCAAAAUUCUUUCUAAUAACUUACAGGUGCCCCCGAGAUGGUGUGCGGAUAAGAUGGAUUGUUGGGAGGCGUUGGUUGAUGAGUGGUGCACACGCAGCUGGCGAGCCGUCCACGAGAAUGCGAAGGAUCGGCGUAGCCAAAUGGUUGGUGUGCCACACCAUCAAGGCAGCGCCAACUUACUUCAGUUCGGACGAAACUGGGUAUGUGAUUUGCUUCAUGAUUCAUGCAAUUCAUUCUUCAUGCUAAUAUUUUGUUCCUCUCUUUUAGGCGCAUCACAAUAAGAUGGAGAUGCCACACUUGUACGACCUUUAUGGCAUGGACCAUACUGCCUCAUACAAGAAGGCGAAGGCAUUCUCUGAGUCUGGCCUGGAUGAUCCCAAUAAGUUCACCAACAUAUCUCCCACCACAAGCUCGUGGCAUACAGGGACGCGGGGAAGGCUACGAAAGGGGAUGACUUUUAGCCUAACCAGGAACCUUUGGAUCCAGAGCUGGUGAUGAUAUCUGGUGGCGGGAGGCCCCAUGGCUCGAUAGCCAUUGGAGAUGGGAUAAUACGUUGUCCACUCACUCUCCCGGAGAUCAAGGCGCGCCAGUCGAGCAGCUGUCCUGAGAUAACGCGUCGUCCACGACCAGUCGAUCUUGCCAUCGAGGUUAGUUGUACGGACUAAGAACACUUUCAUCAAUUUCAUUAUGUGUGUCACCAUAGAUCAUUACUGUGGUAACGAGGAAUGGUGUUUCAGGCUGCUCUUCAGAAAGAGAGAUUGGCAAACCAGGCUGCUCUUGAGAAAGAGAGAUUGGCAAACCAGGCUGCUCUUCAGGCUGCUCUUGAUGAGAGGGACCAGACCAUGGCACGAUUGAUUGAGGAGGAGAGGUCCCGAAAUGAGGCGGGUCAACGGGCCUUGUACGAGCUUUUUGUGGUAAGUUUUUUUUCACAUUAGCCAAAUCAUGUGUGUAAUGUCUAUUUCAUUACUAACUAAUACGACCCACUCUUCUGGGUCUGUGCGAGAAGAGCGGUCAAGUCCCUACGCCGAUGCCCGUCUUCUCUUUGAUUGGCACGGUGACUUUCAUUAUAAACUAGUAUUAAUAAUUGAGUGUCAUCAUGCUAACUGAGACAUUGCAAAAUAUCUAUUAUGCAGAAUAACUCCCGAGCGGCAUCGCACGACCCUUCUCCAGGUGUUUCUCCUCCUUGAUGACCACUACGGUAAGUUUCUCUUCUCCUCUUUCAUAUUCUCCUUGACUUAAUUUCCCCAACAAUGACAUAAUUAGCCCAUUUAUCUCCACAAAGACAUAGUUAGCUAANNNNNNNNNNNNNNNNNNNNNNNNNNNNNNNNNNNNNNNNNNNNNNNNNNNNNNNNNNNNNNNNNNNNNNNNNNNNNNNNNNNNNNNNNNNNNNNNNNNNNNNNNNNNNNNNNNNNNNNNNNNNNNNNNNNNNNNNNNNNNNNNNNNNNNNNNNNNNNNNNNNNNNNNNNNNNNNNNNNNNNNNNNNNNNNNNNNNNNNNNNNNNNNNNNNNNNNNNNNNNNNNNNNNNNNNNNNNNNNNNNNNNNNNNNNNNNNNNNNNNNNNNNNNNNNNNNNNNNNNNNNNNNNNNNNNNNNNNNNNNNNNNNNNNNNNNNNNNNNNNNNNNNNNNNNNNNNNNNNNNNNNNNNNNNNNNNNNNNNNNNNNNNNNNNNNNNNAAGGAGGAGGAGAAGAAGGAGAAGGAGGAGGAGGAGGAGGAGGAGAAGGCCAAGGACCUUCUAGUCCUUCUCCUCCUCCUCCUCCUUCCCCUCCUUCUUCUUUAUUUCUUCUUCUUCUCCUCCUCCUCCUCUUUCUUCUCCUCUUUCAUAUUAUCCUUGUCUUAAUUUCUCCAACAAUGACAUAAUUAGCCCAUUUAGCUUCAAAAUGCCAUAAUAACCGCAAAAUGGCAUAAGAACCUUGGUUAGCUCAUUAAAAUUAUAUACUUAGCUUUUUCCCUCUAAAAUGGGAUAAUUAGCCCAUUUAGCUCCAAAAAGACAUAGUUAGCUAAUUUAGCUCCAAGAAGAGGAGAAGAGGAGAAGAAAUAGGAAAAAUGAAAAGAAAGAAGAAGAAGAAGAAGAGAAGAAGAAGAAGGAGGAGGAGGAGGAGGAGAAGGCCAAGGACCUUCUAGUCCUUCUCCUCCUCAUCCUCCUCCUUCUUCUUUAUUUCUCCUCUAUAAUGACAUAAUUAGCCCAUUUAGCUCCAAAAAGACAUAGUUAGCUAANNNNNNNNNNNNNNNNNNNNNNNNNNNNNNNNNNNNNNNNNNNNNNNNNNNNNNNNNNNNNNNNNNNNNNNNNNNNNNNNNNNNNNNNNNNNNNNNNNNNNNNNNNNNNNNNNNNNNNNNNNNNNNNNNNNNNNNNNNNNNNNNNNNNNNNNNNNNNNNNNNNNNNNNNNNNNNNNNNNNNNNNNNNNNNNNNNNNNNNNNNNNNNNNNNNNNNNNNNNNNNNNNNNNNNNNNNNNNNNNNNNNNNNNNNNNNNNNNNNNNNNNNNNNNNNNNNNNNNNNNNNNNNNNNNNNNNNNNNNNNNNNNNNNNNNNNNNNNNNNNNNNNNNNNNNNNNNNNNNNNNNNNNNNNNNNNNNNNNNNNNNNAGGAGGAGGAGAAGAAGAAGAGAAGAAGGAGAAGGAGGAGAAGGAGCCCUCCUUAUUCUCCUUCUUCUUCCCUCCUUCUUCUCCUCUUCUUCUCCUUCUUCUUCUCCUAUUCUCCUCCUCCUUCUCCUUCUCCUCAUCCUCCUCCUCCUCCUCCUUAUUCUUGUUUUUUCUUCUCCUUCUUCUCUUGUUGCUUCUUCUCCUUUUUCUUCAAUUUAGCUUAUUUGUCAUAUAUAUGUUGUUGUUGUUGUUGUUCUUCUGACUUUCUUAUUCCCAUUUUGCAGAUUGGAUGUACUACAUGCAUGGAAGCUGGCAUUGGAGUGCUUUAGUUCCCGUUUUUAUUUGAGUUGAUGAACAAUGUGGAACUAUAUGUAUAUGUUUAUAUGGAUGAACAAUAUAUGUGCAACUAUAUGUAUGUAUAUAUGGAUGAAACUUUGUAUGUGUUGGUUCUUUUGAUAUAUGGGAUGUACGUUGAUGAACAAAUGGCAUUGAUGAGCUUUAUAUGUAUAUCAUAUAUGUGUUGUGACCUAUUUAUCAUAUAUGUGCUAUGAAUUAUAUACAUGUGCUGUGAAAUAGAAAAAAAAUAAACAAAUAUGUGACAAUAUAGGCUCUUUGCCGUCUGCCAGAUGAUGGCAAAGGUCUUUGCCAUCAGGCAGCUGACGGCAAAGGUGGCACGUGGCGCCCAACUGUGCAACCUGGGCAGCAGCAGCUGGCCAUAUAGUAUCUUUGUCGUCUGCUUCGAGGGGGCAGACGACAAAGAAGAGGGCACACAGGAGGGGGAGGAGGAGGUGGAGGCAAACGACAAAGAAGAGGGGGAGGCAGACGACAAAGAAGAGGGGGGGAGGCAGACGACAAAGAAGAGGGCACAGAGGAGGGGGGAGGAGGAGGUGGAGGCAGACGACAAAGAAGAGGGGGGAGGCAGACGACAAAGAAGAGGGAGAGGCAGACGGCAAACAAGAGGGAGAGGCAAAGAAGUGUGUGUGUGUGUGUGUGAACACCACUUCAUAGUGGCAAGCAUGAGGGAUUAGGCCCUCAUGCACAAGUGCAUAUGCACACUUACACACACACAUGCAUGAGCACACACAUACACAUACAUGUGCUCACACACACACACACUACAAGAAUAGGUGCAACAUGAGGCUAGGCCCUCUUGCACAUGUGUAUGUGCACCCAUGCACACACAUACACCUACAUGUGCACACACACACACACACACUACAUAUAUGCGUGCACACAUACAUACAAAUGCAUACACACACACAUAUGUGCACACACCACACUCAUGUGCGCACACACACACAAGGCCCAAAAAGAAAUAAAACACCCCCUAUUUUUUAAAACAAACAAAACCGCAAAAUGCAGCAAAAGAAAAGAAAAGGAAACAAUAAAACAAGUGAAAAACAAAAGGGGAGGCCCUGGGUUUAGAACCCACAACCUGAUGCACCACUACACAUCUAUGCACCACUCGGCUAUCACUUCGGCUCUCGACAGAGAAGAGGGAGGAAGCAGGUUAACCUCUCUGCACUAUACUGCUACUAGCAAAACAACAGAAAAUGAAAAAGGGGGCCUGCGGGGAUCGAACCCCAGACCUGAGGCGAACGAGCUCACAUUGUAAACCAGUCGGACUACGGUCGGACACUUGACAGAGAGGGGUUCCUUGCUCUUUUGAGCAGGCCCCUCUACGCUACCUGCUGCUCCGUUGAUCGAAGCAGAGGUGGCCACCAGCGAGCACACGGGCCACCAACGGUGGGAAUGAUCACCGGCGAGGGAUGCGGGGAGCACGAGGGUUCCAUCCCCGAAGCUAGCGCGGGAAAAACUGCCGCUUGGCACUGCUACUACUGCGAGGAGCUGCCGCUGCUUCUACUGCUCGCGCUCGCACGGUGCGACUCCGGCAGGGCAUCACCUCGACUAUCUACAUGCGCUGACAGAGAGGGGGAGUGGGGGGAGAACGGUGCGCGGUUCACCUAGGGUCUAGGCGACGAUCCAACGCAGGAGAGGAGGGAGGGCGACGAGUCGGAGCAGAGGAGCUUGCUGGAAGAAGAGGAAGAAGCCGUCGUCAUGGACGUCAUGGAAGGAGUCCUCGUCGUCCGGUUGCUGCAGGAACAGAGCUUCCACGGCCACCGCGUGCUCCUGGCGCUGACCAAGAGGAAGAGGAGGCCGAUCUGCUGCUUGGUACGAGGCUCACCGGAGCCCAUCCAUGGUGUCGGCAUCGAAGGGUCUCCCUUGACGGCGCGAGGGAGAGAGGAGGGAGAAAAUGGAAUGGGCUAGGGUUGGAGAGGACGUCGGACUGCUUAAAAGCCUCGGGGCACGUGCUUGGAGCCGCUUGAUCGGAGAUGGAAAGGGAUCGGUGGUGGUGGUGGAGUCGUACAGUGGUGACGACAUCGAGGAUGAAGAAGGAGAGAGCUGCGGGCCGCGUGCGAGAGGAGAGAGGUGAGGCAGCCCGGCUAAGAGAGGAAAAGGGAGGUUUUCCCCCUUUUAAAAUGCACAAAACACAAACUUAGAUGCCCACUGCCACACAGGGUUUGAAAAGAAAAUAAAAAAAUACAUAGGGCAUAAGGGAAUUAUGCCCUAUUUAACAAAAAUAUAACUCAGAUUUUUAGAGCAACUAAAUUAUAUACAAAACAGGGACUUUAUAUGCUGUUUUAUUAAAACUCCAAUUGAUUUAAAGCUUAAAAACCUCAAGACAACAGCCCACUCAAACACAAGUUGAUUCUAAGAACAUAUAACAUUUUUAAAAUAGGUUCACACAAAGCUUGACACACAAGUUAAAUAAAUAGAAAGGGGAAGAAGGUUUUGACAUAAAAUGAAAGCAAUGUGUUUGCAAGCAUUGUUUGGUAACCCCCACAUCAUCACACACCACCACAAGCAUAGCUAGCAACCAACAAGAAGGAAACAAUGCAAAACAAAAGAAUGAUGCCAUCAUGCAAAGAUGAUGACAUGAAAUGAUCCACAUGAAAUGAUGACUUCAUAGCAUUCAAAACAUGGUUCCAAAUAAGGGAAGGAUCCCAAUAUGGCAAGGAUUACAUCUGGGGCAUUACAAACUCUCCCACACUACAAGAAGAUCUUGACCCAAGAUCUAGGACUGAAAGAACUUUGGGAAUUCGGAACGGAGGUGAUCCUCGCGCUCCCAAGUGGCCUCUUUAUCGGAAUGAUGUGACCACUGCACCUUGAGAAACUUGAUUGACUUAUUGCGGGUCUUGCGCUCAGUCGUCUCAAGAACUGCAACUCGAUGCUCACGGUAGGAUAGGUCAGGUUGAAGGUCGAUAUCCUGAAGAUCAACUGUGUGCUCGGGAGUCUUGAAGCAUCUCCGGAGCUGAGAGACAUGGAACACGUCAUGCACAUUUGCGAAGUUUGAAGGGAGCUCUAAUUGAUAUGCAAGGUCGCCUCUCUUGCCAACAAUUCUGAAAGGCCCAACAAAAUGAGGAGCAAGUUUCCCUUUGAUGCCGAAGCGUUGAGUGCCCUUCAUAGGAGACACUUUAAGAUAGACGAAGUCAUCGAGCUCAUAAGACAUGUCACAAUGGUUGCUAUCAUAGUAGCUCUUCUGACGGGACUGCGCUGCUUUGAGAUUAUCCCGAAUGACACGACACAUCUCUUCUGCUUCUUCAAUCAUUUCAUUCCCAAGAAUCUGAUGCUCGCCAGUCUCUGACCAAUUGAGCGGGGCACGACACUUCCUGCCAUAGAGAAUCUCAAAUGGAGCUUUGCCUGAACUUGCCUGAUAGCUGUUGUUAUAAGAAAACUCAGCGAAAGGUAGGCAGUCUUCCCACUUCAUGCCAAAGGAAAUGACACAGGCUCUUAGCAUAUCCUCGAGGACCUGAUUGACUCUCUCAACUUGCCCACUAGUCUGAGGAUGAAAGGCUGUGCUGAAUCGAAUCUUAGUACCCAUCGCAGACUGAAAUGAGUCCCAGAUCUUGGAAGUAAAGAUGCUUCCUUGAUCCGAAGAAAUCAGCAUUGGAAUACCAUGCAAUGAGACUACCCUUGACGUAUACAAAUCUGCAAGCUGAGCUGCCGAGAUAGACUCCUUGACUGGAAGGAAAUGAGCGACUUUGCUCAACUUGUCGAUGACGACGAAGAUGGCAUCGUUACCCUUCUUGGACUUCGGAAACCCGGUGACGAAAUCCAUCUCAAUAUGGUCGAACUUCCACUCGGGAAUGGGCAAUGGAUGCAAAAGACCUGCUGGACGUUGAUGCUCUGCUUUCACCCUUCGACAUACAUCACAUUCAUUUACGAACUGAGGAAUCUCACGCUUCAUGCGAGUCCACCAGAAGGUCUGUUUCAAAUCCUGAUACAUCUUAGAACUUCUUGGAUGUAUCGAGAGAAGAGAGUUAUGCGCUUCUUACAUGGUAACCUUUCUGAAAUCCCCUUUCGGAAUGGCAAGACGAUCCUCAUAGAAUAAUGUAUCUUUGGCAUCAACAGUGAAGCACUUAUAUUUGGGAACUCCCUUUGCCAAGCCAAUCUUAACUUUCUUCACCAUUGGAUCAAGAAGUUGAGCUUGUCGGACUUGGUCUUACAAGGUAGGAGAAAUCUGAAGAUUAGCAAGAAACCCCUGAGGUACUAACUGAAGAUUGAGCUUUCUGAUAGAUUCACACAGAUCAGGCUGGAGAGGCUUCAGAAUGAGACUGUUGCAGUAAGCCUUCCUGCUCAAAGCAUCUGCCACAACAUUAGCUUUGCUUGGAGUGUACUCAAUGCUCGGAUCAAAAUCUUGGAGCAUUUCCACCCAACGAGUUUGGCGAAGAUUGAGGUUAGGCUGGGUGAAGAUGUACUUGAGACUCUUGUGAUCGGUGAGCACUUCAACCUUUCUUUCGAACAAGAGGUGUCUCCAAGUCAUCAGAGCAUGUACCACUGCCGCCAACUCAAGAUCAUGAGUGGGGUAAUUCUUCUCACUUGGCUUCAACUGCCUCGAGGUAUAAGCUACCACUUUCUUGUCUUGCAUCAACACUGCACCAAGACCUUGAAGAGAGGCGUCACAGAACACUUGAUAAGGUUUGGAGUCAUCAGGAGGAAUCAAGACUGGAGUAGAAGUGAGCUUCUCUUUGAGUGUGCCGAAAGCCAACUGACACUCUGGAGACUAGACAUACUUCACACCCUUCUGAAGAAGAAUUGAGAGAGGCUUAGCAAUCUUGGAGAAAUUCUCAACGAAUCUUCUACAAUAGCUUGCUAGCCCGAGAAAGUUUCGAAGCUGCUUCACAUUUUGCGGAGGUUCCCACUCAACAAUGGCAUGCACCUUCGAAGGAUCAACUUUGAUGCCCUCGGCAGAGAUGAUGUGCCCAAGGUAGACAACUUCCUUCAACCAGAACUCACAUUUGGAAAACUUAGCAUAUAACUUAUGCUCUCUUAGCUUAUCAAGCACAACCCUGAGAUGUUAUUCAUGCUCUUCCUUAGUUUCCAAAAAGACCAGAAUAUCAUCAAGAUACAACAAGACGAAUUCAUUCUUGAAUGGGGAGAAGAUAUAAUUCAUCAUCCGACAGAAGGUCGGUGGAGCAUUGGCCAGACCGAAAGACAUCACUGUAUACUCAUACGAGCCAGAGCUUGUUCGGAAAGCAGUCUUUGGAAUGUCCUCUUUGCGAAUGCGAAUAUGAUGAUAACCCAUCCUGAGAUCAAGCUUCGAGAAGAUCUUAGCCCCUUUCAAUUGCUCAAACAACUCAUUAAUGUUGGGAAGUGGAUACUUGUUUUUGAUCGUCUUCUUAUUCAAUGGACAGUAAUCGACAUAGAGUCGUUCCGUACCAUCCUUCUUCUUGACGAAAAGAACUCCACAACCCCAAGGAGACGAGCUUGGUCUGAUCAGGCCCAGACGCUCUUGCUCAUCAAGUUGUUUCUCAGCUCCUUCAGCUCUUCUGGACCCAAUUUGUACGACCGUUUACACACAGUCUCACUACCCCGUUCAAGCUCAAUUACGAACUCAACUGCUCAGUGCGGAGGAAUUCCUGGCAGUUCUUCCGGAAAAACAUCUUCAUAUUCGCAGACCAGUGGGACUUGCAAAAUUGGAGAGAUCUCACCCUUCUCAUUCAAGGAAAACAGACGGACCGUGUCAUCACGCGCUGCGAAGAUAAUCACGUCCUCCAAAGAAUGAGUUAGCUUCACUUAUUUAGCUUCACAAUCAAUAAACGCCUUGUUCAUAGCAAACCAAUACAUUCCAAGGAUCAAAUCAAUAUCAGAGUUGCCAAGGACAAUAUGAGAAGCCAGAAAGGCAUAAUUACCAAUCUUGACAGAAACAUCCGGAACCAACAUAUGAGAACUCAUACGCAUCCCCGGAGAUACCACGCGGAAAGGACUAUCCAAGUGAACCGUGGGAAUGUCAUGCUUAGCAAUAAAAGGCCUUGAAAUGAAUGAAUGCGAUGCACCAGAAUCAAAUAAAACCUUAGCAGGAAUAUCAUUAAGUGAAAGAUUACCCAUAAUCACGUCCGAGGAGUUCUCUGCUUCAGCUGCAUUCACCAUAUUGACUCUCGCAGACCUGGGGUUGAACUUCACUAUAACAUUGCUUGGAGGCUUCCCUGGCGGAGGAGGCGGAAGACGCAGCUUAGAGGUGCACUUAUUGGCAAAGUGACCCUUCUGCCCACAUUUUUGACAAGUACCAUUUGCCGGCUGACGGAACUGCACCUGAGGAUUCCCUUGCUUCUGCUACUGAAACCUAUGCUGGAAAGCUGGGUUGGGUGGGUGGGAAGAACCACGACCACCUGAUUGCUAGAACUGCUAAGUCUACCGAGGAGGAGGAGGAGACACCCAGUAUUUCUGCUGCUUCGGAACCACUUGAGUUGAGGGCGAUGAACUGGACUCUCUGAAACGCUUCCUCGAAUUCUACACCUUGAGCAAAGCUGCCUCAGCCCUGAGAGCCAACUUAUAGAACUUAUCAAACUCAUUAGGAUCGUGCAAGGCAAGGGCCAGCUGCAAGUCCUCUCUCAGACCACCUCUGAACUGAUAGAUCUUGCUCUUCUGAUCUGGAAUGUCCUGCAAAGCAUAUUGAGCCAGCUCAUGGAACUCGAUGUUGUACUUGUACACAGAGGAACCACCUUGCUUCAAGCGUCUGAACUUCUCACGCAUCUCUUCCACAAAGCUAGACGGGAUAUAGUGAGACCUGAAAUCUCUGCAGAACUCAUCCCAACUGAUCAAUCUGCCACCCCUGGAGUCCUUCAACUGCUGCCACCAAACUGCUGCCUGCCCCUUGAGCCGAAACGUUGCAAACUUGAAGAAGUCCUCUGGACAAACAUUGCUGCACUCAAAGUGUUUGUUCAUGUCCCGAAUCCAGUCCUUAGCGUCAAAUGGAUGAUCACAAGACGUGAAGGUCUUCGGCUGGUUUGCUAGGAAUUGAUACAGAGAUGCAAACUGAUUACCACCAUGGUUGAAAUUGCCAUGCUGCCGAUUCGUCCUCUCUUGCAACAGAUGGAUUAACAUCUGGGUGUUAGCAUUUGUUGCAGCCAUCACCGCUUGCCAAGCCUCUGCAGGAGGAGGCGGCGACGGAGCUGGUGGAGGGGGUGGUGGCGGAACAUCAGCACCCUCGUGACCCGGAUUCUGGCGAGUUGGUGGAGCCAUCCUGAAGACGGACAACACAUUAGACCAGAGAAUAACAUUCAAGGUAAAGCUGAAUCAAAAGGCGGGAAUAUUUGAACAAGAAUAUUUAGCAAUUGCACUCAAACAAAAUAGUAAGAAUGCUUCCUCAAAGUGACUGUCGGCUGAUACGUCUCAAACAUAUCUAUAAUUUUUGAUGGUUUCACACUGUUAUCUUGUCUUCUUUGGUUCUUUUAUGUACCUUCUAUAUCUUUUUUGGGACUAACUUAUAGAUUCAGUGCCAAGUGCCGGUUCCUAUUUUUUCCGUGUUUUUGACUCUUUUCAGAUCUGAUUUUGGAACGGAGUCCAAACGGAAGAAAAACCCCGAAAUGAUUUUUUCCAGAACGAAAGAAGACCAGGGAGCUUUUGGGCCAAGCCAGGUGGGCUCCAGGGAGCCCACAAGCUCCCACCACGCCACCAGGGGGGAGGCGGCGGUGGGCAAGCUUGUGGCCUCCCUGGCCGCCCCCUGACCUAGGUCUUUGGCCUAUAAAUUCCCAAAUAUUCCGCACAAAAUCAGGGGAGCCUCGAAAAUACUUUUCCGCCGCCACAAGCUUCCGUUUCCGUGAGAUCUCAUCUGGAGACCCUUCCCGGCACCCUGCCGGAGGGGACUUUGGAGCUGGAGGUCUUCUUCUUCAUCAUCAUCGCCCCUCCAAUGACUCGUGAGUAGUUCACUUCAGACCUACGGGUCCGUAGUUAGUAGCUAGAUGGCUUCUUCUCUCUCUUGGAUCUUCAAUACAAAUUUCUCCAUGAUCUUCAUGGAGAUCUAUCCGAUGUAAUCUUCUCUGGCGGUGUGUUUGUCGAGAUCCGAUGAAUUCUGGACUUGUGAUCAGAUUAUCUAUGUUAUAUAUUUGAGUCUUUGCUAAUUUCUUAUAUGCAUGAUUUGAUAUCCUUGUAUGCCUCUUUGAGUCUUGGGUUUUGUUUGGACAACUAGAUCUAUGAUUCUUGCAAUGGGAGAAGUGCUUGGUUUUGGGUUCUGCCAUGUGGUGACCUUUCCAAGUGACAGUAGGGGCAGCAAGGCACACAUCAAGAAGUUGCCAUCUAGGGUAAAAAGAUGGGGUUUUUAUCAUUGGUUUGAGAUUAUCCCUCUACAUCAUGUCAUCUUGUUUAAGGCGUUACUCUGUUCUUAUGGACUUAAUACACUAGAUGCAUGCUGGAUAGCGAUCGACGUGUGGAGUAAUAGUAGUAGAUGCAGAAAGCAUCGGUCUACUUGCUUCGGACGUGAUGCCUAUAGAAAUAAUCAUUGCAUAGAUAUCGUCAUGACUCUGCACAGUUCUAUCAAUUGCUCGACAGUAAUUUGUGCACCCACCGUCUACUUGCUUUCAUGAGAGAAGCCACUAGUAAGCACUACGGCCCCCGGGUCUAUUCACAUCCAUCGUUUACACCUCCGCUUUUACUUUGCGUUGUUACUUUGUUGCUUUCAGUUCUCACUUGGCAAACAAUCUAUAAGGGAUUGACAACCUCUUCAUAGCGUUGGGUGCAAGCUUUUUGUGUUUGUGCAGGAUCCUGAGAUACUCUUCCGCCGGAUUGAUACCUUGGUUCUCAAACUGAGGGAAAUACUUACCGUCGCUGUGCUACAUCACCCUUUCCGCUUCGAGGGAACACCAACGCAAGGCUCCAAGGCCACGGGGGAAUCCUUUGCAUACUUUCCUAGGAAGUCCCUUAAGGCGUAGCCGUAGCUAAAGGAUUCCUGGUGCCGUCGACACAACUAUUUCCUGGCGCCGUUGCAAUGGAUACAGAACAAACAUCAGAAGUAUUUCUGGCGCCGUUGCCGGGGAGGAGAAAUCAAGAUCUAUCCAAGUAGGUCUCACAAACUCUUCUCUUGCAUUUACUUUUGUUGCCAGUUGCCUCUCGUUUUCCUCUCCCCCACUUCACAUUUGCCGUUUUCAUUCGCCUUUCUCCUUCGCCGUUUUCUUUUGCCCUUGCCGUUUUCCUUUGCCGGUUUCUUGCUUGCUUGUGUGUUUGUUUGUUUGUUGAAGACAUCAUGUCUGAAAACACCAAACUUUGCGACUUCUCGAGCACUAAUAAUAAUGAUUUUAUUAGUACUCCGAUUGCUCCCGCCACCAGUGCGGAAUCGUAUGAAAUCAACGCAGCUUUGCUGAAUCUUGUUAUGAAAGAGCAAUUUUCUGGCCUUCCUAGUGAAGAUGCCGCAUCCCAUCUCAAUACCUUCAUUGAGAUUUGUGAUAUGCAAAAGAAAAGAGAUGUGAUAAUGACGUGAUUAAGUUGAAACUUUUUCCUUUCUCGUUGCGAGAUCGCGCAAAAACUUGGUUUUCUUCUUUGCCUAAAAAUAGUAUCGAUUCUUGGGAUAGGUGCAAAUAUGCUUACAUAUCCAAGUAUUUUUCCGCCGGCUAAGAUCAUCUCCUUACGUAACGAUAUCAUGAAUUUCGAGCAACUUGAUCACGAACACGUUGCACAAUCGUGGGAGAGGAUGAAGCUUAUGAUUAGAAAUUGUCCUGCUCAUGGCUUGAGUUUGUGGAUGAUUAUACAAAUCUUUUACGCUGGCUUGAAUUUCGCUUCUCGCAAUAUCUUGGACUCCGCCUCAGGUGGAACGUUCAUGGAAAUCACGUUAGGAGACGCUACAAAACUCCUAGACAAUAUCAUGACCAACUACUCUCAGUGGCACACUGAAAGGUCGCCUGCUAGCAAAAAGGUGCACGCUAUAGAAGAGAUUAACUCGCUUAGUGCUAAGAUGGACGAGUUGAUGAAUUUGGUUGCUAGUAGAAAUGCUACCGUAGAUCCUAAUGACAUGCCACUAUCUUCCUUGAUUGAGAGUAGCAACGCUAGUUUGGAUGUGAAUUUUGUUGGUAGGAACAAUUUUGGCAACAAUAAUGCUUUUAGAGGAAACUAUGUUCCUAGGCCUUUUCCUAGUAACUCCUCUAACAAUUAUGUCAAUUCCUACGACAACACUUAUGGAAAUCAUAACAAAUUACCCUCUGAUCUAGAGAGUAAUAUCAAAGAGUUCAUCAACUCUCAAAAGAUUUUCAAUGCGCCCAUAGAGGAAAAACUACUCAAAAUAGUCGAUUUGGCUAAGAGCGUUGAUAGGAUGUCUUGUGAUAUUGAUGCUUUGAAAGUUAGAUGCGCUCCUCCCAAGAUCAACUUGGAGGAAACUUUGAAAGCUAUGCGCAUCUCCAUGAAUGAGAGCAAAGAAAGAACCGCCCAAAUCCGUGCUAGACAUGAAUGGUUUAAAAGGGUGCGUUCUAGUGAUGCAAAUCACGAAGAUCUUAAAGUGUUUAGUGUGUCUCCUCUUGAAUCUUUGUUUUCGCGUGUCAAACCUACUUAUGGAGGGGCUGGAUAUGAAUUCGCCCUANNNNNNNNNNNNNNNNNNNNNNNNNNNNNNNNNNNNNNNNNNNNNNNNNNNNNNNNNNNNNNNNNNNNNNNNNNNNNNNNNNNNNNNNNNNNNNNNNNNNACUUUGGUUGAAAAAUGCCCCAAUGAUUCGGAGUCCACCUAUCUUGAUGAUAAAGGUGUGGAGAGUGGAGUAGAAGAAGUCAAAUUUUUGGGUAGUCAUGAAACUCCCACUUUGGAUUUCAAGGAACUCAACUAUGAUAAUUGCUCCUUGUUUGAAUGCAUUUCUUUGAUGCAAUCCAUUGCAAACUCUCCACAUGCUUAUAGCCAAAGCAAAGCCUUUACCGCGCAUAUCGUAGAUGCUAUGAUGAAAUCUCUUGAAGAGAAGCUCGAACUAGAAGUCUCUAUACCUAGAAAACUUCAUGAUGAGUGGGAACCUACUAUCAAAAUCAAGAUAAAAAACAAUGAGUGCAAUGCUUUGUGUGAUUUGGGUGCUAGUGUUUCCGCAAUUCCAAAGUCUUUAUGUGAUAUUCUUGGUUUUCAUGAGAUUGAAGAGUGUUCUCUUAAUUUGCAUCUUGCGGAUUCUACCAUCAAGAAGCCCAUGGGGAGAAUUGAUGAUGUUCUUAUUGUUGCAAAUAAGAACUAUGUACCCGUGUAUUUCAUUGUACUUGACAUAGAUUGCAAUCCUUCAUGUCCCAUUAUUCUUGGUAGACCUUUCCUAAGGACUAUUGGUGCUAUCAUCGAUACGAAGGAAGGAAAUAUUAGAUUUCAAUUUCCCUUAAAUAAGGGCAUGGAGCACUUUCCUAGAAAGAAAAUAAGAUUGCCUUAUGAAUCUAUGAUGAGGGCUACUUAUGGUUUGAGUACCAAAGAUGACUAUACGUGAUUCCAUCACUUUCGCCUAGCUAAGGGCGUUAAACAAAAGCGCUUGUUGGGAGGCAACCCAACGAAUCUAUCAUUUUUAUUUUUGUUUUGUGUUUUCCACACUUCCAUAAUUCUGUUAUGAUUGUGUUUUUGUGUUUCUUUUUUGUGUUUGUGCCAAACAAAACCGUUAUGAUUAGUCUUGGGGAUGAUCGUUUCGUCAUGCUGGAAAAGACAGAAACUUUCUGCUCAGGAAAAGAAUUUUCAUUUCUUUUUCUGUAAGAGCUUUUGAGUUGAUUCUUUUUGCAGCUGAUUUCUAGAAACAUUCUUCAAACGUUCGUAAUUUGUCUGAAUUUUUUAAGUAACAGAGGUAUACGAAACAUACAUAUUGCUACAGACUGGUCUGCUGUUAACAGAUUCUGUUUUUGUUGUGUUGGUUGCUUAUUUUGAUGAAACUAUGGAUAGUAUCAGGGGGUAUUAGCCAUGGAAGAUUGAAAGUACAGUAACCCAACAUCAGCACAAGUAGAUUUUAAAUUUUCUACAGUACCUAAGGAAGUGGUGGUUUGCUUUCUUGUACUAAUGUUAUCACAAGUUUCUGUUUAAGUUUCGUGUUGUGAAGUUCUUAUGGACAAAAAUAUAAAGAGUGGCAAGAGAUCAAGCUUGGGGAUGCCCAAGGUACCCCAAGAGAUUCAAGGAUGACGUAAAAUCCUAAGCUUGGGGAUGCCCCGGAAAGGCAUCCCCUCUCUCGUCUUCAAUCCAUCGGUAACGUUACUUGGGGCUAUAUUUUUAUUCACCACAUGUUAUGUGUUUUUGCUUGGAGCGUCUUGUAUCGUAGGAGUCUUUUAUUUUGUUGUGUCACAAUCAUCCUUGACGCACACCUAGAGAGAGAGAGAGACAUGCACACACCGUGAUUUUGUCGAGCUUCACUUAUAUCUUUUGGUAGACAAUUCAGCUCACAUGUGCUUCACUUAUAUCUUUUGAGCUAGAUACUUUUGCUCUAUGUAAUUCACUUAUAUAUUUUAGAGCGCAGCGGUGCGUGGCUUGAUAGUUGAUCUAUGCUUUGAAAGUUGUCUCAAAAGGGGUAGUUAUCCAAGGGGAUACGAAAACUGCCACCUUCAUGUGCAUUGACUAGUUAGAGAAGUUUGAUUCAUCUCAAUUAGUUUUGAGUUGUGGUUAUGGUAAUAUUGAAGUCAUGCUAGUAAGGUGUUGUGGAUCUAGAAAUACUUGUGUUGAAGUUAGUGAUUCCCGUAGCAUGCACGUAUGGUGAACCGCUAUGUGAUGAAAUCUGAGCAUGAUUAGUAUAUUGAUUGUCAUCCUUUGCGUGGCGGUCGGGAUCACGCGAUGGUUUAUACCUACGAACCCUUCCCCUAGGAGUAUGCGUUGAAUGCCUUGUUUCGAUUACUAAUAAAACUUUUGCAACAAGUGUAUGAGUUCUUCAUGAUUAAUGUUGAGUCCAUGGUUUAGAUGCACUUUCACCUUCCACCAUCACUAUCUUCUUAGUGCCGCGCAACUUCCGCCGGUGCACAAAACCCACCAUUAGCCUCCCUCAAAACAUCCACCAUACCUACCUACUAUGGCUUUUGCAAAGUUAUUCCGAGAUAUAUUGCCAUGCAACUACCACCAUGACAUGUUCCACCACGUCUACAUUGCUUUUGCACGAUCGUAAGAUAGCUAGCAUGAUGUUUCCAUUGAUUUCUAUGCCAUGCUAGAUCAUUGCCACGGUACACUACCGAAGGCAUUCCAUAUAGAGUCAUAAUUGCUCUAAGUUUUGAGUUGAAAGUGUGAUGAUCAUCAUUAUUGGAGCAUUGUCCCAUGUGAGGAAAUAAAAGAGGCCAAAGAAGCCCAUAAAAAAGAGGCCAAAGAGCCUUCCAAAAUAAAAAAAAUGUGAGAAAAAGAGAGAAGGGACAACGCUACCACUUUUUCCACACUUGUGCAUAUUGAGCGCCAUGAUCUUCAUGAUUGAGAGUCUCUCGUUUUGUCACCACCAUAUAGCUAGUGGGAAAUUCUCAUUAUAUAACUUGGCUUGUAUAUUCCAAUGAUAGGCUUCCUCAAAAUUGCUUUAGGUCUUCGUGAGCAAGCAAGUUGGAUGCACACCCACUAGUUUUCUUUAAGAGCUUUCACAUACUUGUAGCUCUAGUCCAUCAUUUGUAUGGCAAUCCCUACUCAUUCACAUUGAUAUCUAUUGAUGAGCAUCUCCACAGCUCAUUGAUAUGCCUUGUUAAUGUGACUAUCUUCUCCUUUUUGCCUUGCAACCUCCACCACAUUCCACACCAUCUAUAGUGUUGUAACCAUGGCUCACGCUCAUGUAUUGCGUGGGAGUUGAAAAUGUUUGAGAAAGUAAAGGUGUGAAACAAUUACUUGGCCAAUACCGGGGUUGUGCAUGAUUUAAAUUCGUUGUGCAAUGAUGAUAGAGCAUAGCCAGACUAUAUGCUUUUGUAGGGAUAACUUUCUUUUGGCCUUGUUAUUUUGAAAGUUCAUGAUUACUUUGCGAGUUUGCUUGAAUUAUUAUUGUUUCCACGUCAAUAGCAAACUAUUGUUUUCAAUCUAAUGGAUCUGAACAUUCACGUCACAUAAGAGGAAUUACAAAGGACACCUAUGCUAGGUAGCAUGAAAGCAUCAAAAAUUCAUUCUUUUCACUUCCCUACCCGAGGACGAGCAGGACUUAAGCUUGGGGAUGCUUGAUACGUCUCAAACGUAUCUAUAAUUUUUGAUGGUUUCACGCUGUUAUCUUGUCUUCUUUGGUUGUUUUAUGUACCUUUUUAUAUCUUUUUUGGGACUAAUUUAUUGAUUCAGUGCCAAGUGCCAGUUCCUGUUUUUUUCCAUGUUUUUGACUCUUUUCAGAUAUGAUUUUGGAACGGAGUCCAAACGGAAGAAAAACCCCGAAAUGAUUUUUUCCCGAACGAAAGAAGACCAGGGAGCUUUUGGGCCAAGCCAGGUGGGCUCUAGGGAGCCCACAAGCUCCCACCACGCCACCAAGGGGGAGGCGGCGGUGGGCAACCUUGUGGCCUCCCUGGCCGCCCCCUGACCUAGGUCUUUGGCCUAUAAAUUCCCAAAUAUUCCGCAAAAAAUCAGGGGAGCCUCGAAAAUACUUUUCCGCCGCCGCAAGCUUCGUUUCCGCGAGAUCUCAUCUGGAGAUCCUUCCCGGCACCCUGCCGGAAGGGACUUUGGAGCUGGAGGGCUUCUUCAUCAUCAUCAUCGCCCCUCCAAUGACUCAUGAGUAGUUCACUUCAGACCUACGAGUCCGUAGUUAGUAGCUAGAUGGCUUCUUCUCUCUCUUGGAUCUUCAAUACAAAGUUCUCCAUGAUCUUCAUGGAGAUCUAUCUGAUGUAAUCUUCUUUGGCGGUGUGUUUGUCGAGAUCCGAUUAAUUGUGGACUUGUGAUCCGAUUAUCUAUGUUAUAUAUUUGAGUCUUUGCUGAUUUCUUAUAUGCAUGAUUUGAUAUCCUUGUAAGUCUCUCCGAGUCUUGGGUUUUGUUUGGCCAACUAGAUCUAUGAUUCUUGCAAUGGGAGAAGUGCUUGGUUUUGGGUUCUGCCAUGUGGUGACCUUUCCCAGUGACAGUAGGGACAGCAAGGCACACAUCAAGCAGUUGCCAUCAAGGGUAAAAAGAUGGGGUUUUUACCAUUGGUUUGAGAUUAUCCCUCUACAUCAUGUCAUCUUGCUUAAGGCGUUACUCUGUUCUUAUGGACUUAAUACACUAGAUGCAUGCUAGAUAGCGGUCGACGUAUGGAGUAAUUGUAGUAGAUGCAGAAAGUAUAGGUCUACUUGUUUCGGACGUGAUGCCUAUAGAAAUAAUCAUUGCAUAGAUAUCGUCACGACUCUGCACAGUUCUAUCAAUUGCUCGAUAGUAAUUUGUUCACCCGCCGUCUACUUGCUUUCAUGAGAGAAGCCACUAGUAAACACUACGGCCCCCGGGUCUAUUCACAUCCAUCGUUUACACCUCCGCUUUUACUUUUAUUUGUUACUUUGUUGCUUUCGGUUCUCACUUGGCAAACAAUCUAUAAGGGAUUGACAACCCCUUCAUAGCGUUGGGUGCAAGCUUUUUGUGUUUGUGCAGGAUCUUGAGAUACUCUUCUGUCGGAUUGAUACCUUGGUUCUCAAACUGAGGGAAAUACUUACCAUCGCUGUGCUACAUCACCCUUUCCGCUUUGAGGGAACACCAACGUAAGGCUCCAAGGCCACGGGGGAAAUCCUUUUCAUACUUGCCUAGGAAGGCCCUUAAGGCGUAGCCGUAGCUGAAGGAUUCCUGGUGCCGUCGACACUACUAUUUCCUGGCGCCGUUGCAAGGGAUACACAACAAGCAUCAUCGACAAAAUCUGAUUAAAGACCACUUGCAAACCAAGUAUGAGCUAGAACUGCUCGGAACAAACGUAUGAUAGAGAUUCCAUCCGAUAUCUUCGUGGAUAUGAUCACACGGGCUCGAACUUACAGUAGCCAUCCUAUGCAAGGCAGUGCACACGACUUACGAAGCAUCCCCGAGUCGUAGCAAGCUAUAAGGACUCUUUAAGACACAACGAGAACUGCUGUAAGACGACCGUGAACAAACGUACCCACUGAAUGUCGAAUCCCAACCUCACAUCAUGCGUUUGUUGGAAGAUUGUCCUAUAAGUCACUACUUGAUAUCCCACCUAUGAAUUCCCGAAAUAUCUGGUCAUGCAAUCUGGUACACGGAUACAAGGAGUAAUAUGUCACACAACUCCUACUCUAACCUAUCCAGUGUAUCACAUCCGUCCACACAUAACCAGAAUCUCGGACCUUCAUCUACUACACACCCUCGUAAUCACAACAAUACAAAGUGUGGCGAUACAUCCGGAACUCUCUGCACCAGUACUGGGGAAGCCGGACUCCUCUCGUCACAACCAGUAUUGAAGCAAUUACGACCAUCCUCCGUCGUGAGAUACUAAGAAAUCUGAAUGACGGCGAUGUGCACAAGAAUCCCGUGGAGCUCAACUCCCCGGAAGAAAUCAAGUCAGACAGGAGGCACCAAGACAGAACUCCGUCACAUUGAUAUCAUAUAGAUUUCAAAAUACUCGCGUGAUCCUAUUUUUUUUGAGCGAGAAGAGGAGUAGAAUUAAGAUUUCCUAAGUCAACAACCUCACCAGAGCAUAGAAGAGGAGAAAAAAGAAACCUACUCUCCGAUAUAACUAAGACUCAAAACAUUUUACUAGACUUGACUCGGCCAAGUUCGAUCACACAAAGGCUCCUAUGGUCGUAAGGCUCUGAUUACCAACUUGUAACGACUAAGAUGCGACCCUUUCCUUAUUUGGGGGCGAGGCGUCAAAAGGGGAAAGGGGCGCAUCUAUGCGUUUCGCAAACGGGAUAAUCAUCACAAUACAUAAUUAAAGAGUAACAAGUAGGGCAUACACUUGGCAUCUGUUAAGAACAUAUCAUAUAGCUUACAGACACACAUUAUUCAGAGUAGCAGCAAGUCUAGCUACGGACUUUAAACAGAAAAACAGAUGAUCUAACGCAUCCCGUAUGCUAGCCCACGAUCACGACCACGGCCUCAGUCUUCCGGAUAGUUCACAUACAGACGGCCAGAGUCCUCAUCGAACUCCCACUUCAACUGGUUGUUAUCAGGAUCUCCUGCGUCGGGCGUACCUGUACCUCUUGGGGUUUGUAGGAAUCUGUGAGCCACGGGGACUCAACAAUAUAAUGACCUUGGUACUGAAUCUAGUCAAGUUAUUAGGUGAGUAAGGUUUAGUGUAUGGGUUUGCAGCAACCUAAGCUUGUAUGGUGGCUAACUGACGAUAAUCAGAGUAAUCAUAUGGUGGUCUACGCGAGCGGUCGAAGACUAGAUUGAUCACUAAGUGAUCCUGAACACCUACCUAUGUCAGACAUAACCCCACUGUGUUCUCGACCGGAGAACGAUCUCCUGAGGAGACAGUCGCGGUUAUGCACACAUUUGGCAGUUUUAUUAGAAUUAAUUCAAGUUGUCUAGAACCGGAUGUUAACAAAAUAUCCACAUUUGCCACAUAACCGCGGGCACGGCUUUCCGAAAGAUUAACCCCUGCAGUUUGUGAUGGAGGAUGACUUUGCGGCCCGUGGUAGUUUGUGAUGGACUAGUAGGAGCACCCCUGCAGUUUGUGUUGGGGUUAAUCUUUCGGAAAGUCGUGCCCGCGGUUAUGUGGAAAAUGUGGAUAUUUUGUUAACAUCUGGUUCUAGACAACUUGAAUUAAUUCUAAUAAAACUGCCAACUGUGUGCGUAACCGUGACUGUCUCCUCCGGAGAUCGUUCUCCGGUCGAGAAAACGGUGGGGUUAUGUUUGACGUAGGUAGGUGUUUAGGAUCACUUAGUGAUCAAUCUAUUCUUCGACCGCUCGCGUAGACCACCAUAUGAUUACUCUGAUUAUUGUAAGUUAGCCACCAUAUAAGCUUAGGUUGCUGCAAACCCAUACACUAAACCUUCCUCACCUAAUAACUUGACUAGAUUCAGUACCAAGGUCAUUAGAUUACUGAGUCCCCGUGGCUCACAGAUUCCUACAAACCCCAACAGGUACAAGUACGCCCGACGCAGGAGAUCCUGAUGACAACCAAUUGAAGUGGGAGUUCUAUGAGGACUCUGGACGUCUGUAUGUGAACUAUCCAGAAGACCGAGGCCGUGAUCGUGAUCGUGGGCUAACAUACGGGAUGUGUUAGAUCAUCUAUUUUUCUGUUUAAAGUCCGUAGCUGGACUUGCUGCUACUCUGAAUAAUGUGUGUCUGUAAGCUAUAUGACAUGUUCUUAACAGAUGGCAAGUGUAUGCCCUACUUGUUACUCUUUAAUUUUAUAUUGUGAUGAUUAUCCCGUUUGCGAAACGUAUAGAUGUGCCCCUUUCCCCUUUUGAGGCCUCGCCCCCAAAUAAGGAAAGGGACACAUCUUAGUCGUUACACUCUGUUUUGGACCAACACUCAUGAGGAGCACUGGCUCGGGUUGUUGAUUAAUUAUCCACGGGGUCCGGAAAGUCCCUAUGCAAUUUUAUUAGGUUAUUAGGCAAAUGUAGUACCAAAGUUGGGCCUUGCCAGACCAGUUUUAAACUAAAACGAAUUAUCGAGGGGGUCCCCAUAACAACCACGAUCGUGUUAGGAGCGUUCAAUAAUGGAAUAUAACACCGGUAGCCGAAACUAAGGGGGCAAAGGCGGAACAAAACACCAGGCUAGAAAGGCCGAGCCUUCCAUCUUUUACCAAGUAUAUAGGUGCAUUAAAUUAAAUAACAUUUAAUGGGGUGAUAUAACAAGGAACCCAUGUUAACACAUGCAGCAACUACACCUGCAAUUAGCAAUGCUACCAAAUGGUUAAGCAAGCGGUAACAUAGCCAAUCAGUGGUUUGCUAGGUUGUAGAAGGUUGAAGGUUUUCAUGGCAAUGUUGGGAGCCUGAUAUUUAACAUGUGGUAGGUAGCGAGACAUAACGGUAGAAAUGAAACAACUAGCAUGGCAAUCAUAGUAAUGAUAUUUGGGGAAAUGUUCAUCUUGCCUGAGAUUCUGUUUGGAAGAAGAACGACUCCGUGAAGCAGACGAACCGACGUAGUCGAACGGAUCCUCACAUUCUGACACACUUGCAAAACUCUAUCGAGACGGAGGAAACCGGAAACAAGCAUCUACACAUGAUAUUCACCCUGGCACAUGCACAAUAUGAUGCAUAACCUAGUAUGAUGCAUGACCAGUUUUAAAUAUGCAAGGCAUGGCACGACAAUUCACAUCAUGCAAACACUACACAUUAAGUGAAGCUCGAGAUGAAACAAGUUGCAUAUCAACGAAACUCCAUGUUUAAUUAUUUAGUUCACUCCCGUUUAGGUACACGGCAAUAUUAAAUGUUGUUAAAUAUGGAAAAGGGUGAAGCAUAAAUUAUCUACUUAUCUAGGCAUUUUAAAUGAGAUCGGAAACGACAUAUAGCAUCUCUAAGACGACCCCAUGCGUUAAACUCUAAAUCUGUCCAGAUUUGUCCUAAUCACAUUUUAUGUUUGUUUAACAGAAAAACAAAUUGGUUCACAUGAUUCUACUCGUUGUUCCGGUCCAUUUACAUAUAUGGCACAUCUCCAAUGGAGCUACGGUUAAAUAAUUAUGACCUAAACCGUUUGCAACACGGCAGGACACACAAAACAAGGUAAACAACAAGUUUAACACUUGUAAUCAUGCAUGAGAGUUGGAAAAUAUUAAUCUAUGCGAGAUUCUAGUCAAGUUACAUAUUUAACUCGUCGGAAUCCGACGCACGGAAUAAAAGUAAGGUGCCUUUGAAAAUUACUCAUUUUUCUGAAAUUAAUAAAUUCGCUGGAGAAAUAAAAAAACUCCGUGCCGAAUCUAGAUCUGGCCCAAGACACGGCAUGGCGACACUUAACUAAAAGGCGUCUGAGCAGGAUUUAGCGGGGCGACUCACCUCGGGCCUCACGGCCCACUCGGCGGAGGAGCUGAGGCAUGCCGAGGCUGGUCGAGCUGGGCCGGGGGAGGAGCUGCUCGUGCCGGCCCGACCGGAGGCAGGUGGAGGACGACGGCUGGGCCUGGGGCGUGACCCAGCAAGCGAGGCACGCACGGCUUCAUGCUUGUCCCGCACGAGCAGUGCACCGGUGGCUGCCGACGGGGGUGAUGUCCGAUGGACCUCCCGCGAGGGAUGCGGCAAGGACGGUUCCCCCGAGACGGAUCUGGGGCGGGGCUGCCCGGAUCCAGCCGUUCCCGGCGGUCUUGAGGCGAGGCGGCUGAUGGGGAACGUUGCAUGGGAAACAAAAAUUUUCCUACGCAUACGAAGACCUAUCAUGGUGGUGUCCAUCUACAAGUGGCGGUUAGAUCUACGUACCCUUGUACAUUGCUCAGCGGGAAGCGUUAAGAAACGUGGUUGAUGUAAUGGAACGUCUUCACGUCCCUCGAACUGUCCCACGAACCGCCCCACAAUCCGUCCCACGAUCCGUUCCGAUCUAGCGCCGAACGGACGGCACCUCCGUGUUCAGCACACGUACAACUCGAUAAUGAUCUCGACCUUCUUGAUCUAGCAAGGAAGACGGAGAGGUAGAUGAGUUCUCCGGCAGCGUGACGGUGCUCCGAUGGUGGUGAUGAUCUACUCCUGUAGGGCUCCCCCCCGAGCUCCGCAGAAAUCCGAUCUGGAGGUAAAACUAUGUGGAAUAGGCUAGAGUUGCACGUGGCAACGUUGUGUCUCAAAAAGCCAUAAACCACCACUAUAUAUAGGAGGAAGGGGGAGGGGCUAGCCUUGAGGCACAAGGCCUCAAGGUGCGCCGGCCGCCAGGAGGAGGAGGAUUGCUCCUCCAAUUCGGUUUGGGAAGGAGGAGUCCUCCUCUUCCUUCCCACCUCCCUCUUUCCUUUUUUCUUCUUCUUUUCUUUUGGUAUUUUCUUAUGUGGCGCCAUAGCCCUCUUGGGCUGACUCCACCAGACCAAUAAGGACUUGGUGCGCCACCCUAGGGCCUUGGGCUCAUUCCCGGGUGGGUGGGCCCCUCCCGGUAAACACCCGGAACCCAUUCGUCACUCUCGGUACACUACCGGAAUUGCCCGAAACUUUCCGGUGACCAAAUGAAACCAUCCUAUAUAUGAAUCUUCGUUUCCAGACCAUUCCGGAAACCCUCGUGACGUCCGUGAUCUCAUCCGGGACUCCUAACAACAUUCGGUAACCACACAUAUAACUCAACUAUACUAGAACAUCACCGAACCUUAAGUGUGCAGACCCUGCGGGUUCGAGAACUAUGUAGACAUGACCCGAGGCACUCCUCGGUCAAUAUCCAAUAGAGGGACUUGGAUGCCCAUAUUGGAUCCUAUAUAUUCUCCGAAGAUCUUAUAGGUUGAACCUCAGUGUCAAGGAUUCAUAUAAUCCCGUAUGUCAUUCCCUUUGUCCUUCGGUAUGUUACUUGCCCGAGAUUUGAUCGUCGGUAUCCGCAUACCUACUUCAAUCUCGCUACCGGCAAGUCUAUUUACUCGUUCCGUAAUACAAGAUACCAUGACUUACACUUAGCCACAUUGCUUGCAAGGCUUGUGUGUGAUGUUGUAUUACCGAGUGGGCUCCGAGAUACCUCUCCAUCACACGGAGUGACAAAUCCCAGUCUUGAUCCAUACUAACUCAACGGACACCUUCGGAGAUACCUGUAGAGCACCUUUAUAGUCACCCAGUUACGUUGCGACGUUUGAUGCACACAAGGUAUUCCUCCGGUGCCAGUGAGUUAUAUAAUCUCAUGGUCAUAGGAAUAAAUACUUGACACGUAGAAAACAAUAGCAAUAAAAUGACAAGAUCAACAUGCUACGUUCAUAGUUUGGGUCUAGUCCGUCACAUGAUUCUCCUAAUGAUGUGAUCCAGUUAUCAAGCAACAACACUUGCACAUAGUCAGAAAACUUUGACUAUCCUUGAUCAACUGGCUAGCUAACUAGAGGCUUGCUAGGGACAUUGUUUUGUCUAUGUAUCCACACAUGUAUCUAUGAUUUCAUUCAAUAUAAUUAUAGCAUGGAUAAUAAACGAUUAUCUUUGUAACAGGAAAUAUAAUAAUAACUAUUUAUCAUUGCCUCUACGACAUAUUUCCAAUAGCGGCGACCUUGGCUAUGGGAGGAUUCGGGGCGGUGGAGUACUCGCGGGUGGCUGCGCUGCUGGCCGACAGCGGACGCGCAACGGGGUGACCGGAGGGCGUAGUGCGGGGCGCCGGCUAGAGUCAAUAAUCUAGUCCUCACAUCGCCAUGCGAUCUACGUUGUAAUAAAUCUAAUACCCAUACAGUUCUGGUGUUGAUCAUUGUCGUGGGUAUAAGUCUGACAGUAGAAGUAUGGGGUACGAAAGUAUAUGGGCAGAGCCUUAGCUACGGCGAGGAUGCAUGAGUUCAGGCCCCUCUACGGUGAAGGUAAAAGCCCUACGUCUCAGUGCUCUUGGGAGCUUUGUGUCGAGUGUAUUGUGGGAUUACAACAAGUGCCAACCCCUGUACCAGUGGUGAAGGGCGGCUUAUAUAGAGUGUGUUGCCCUUCAUAAUGGCCCGAUGGACAGGAGUGGAGUAGUGGCGAGUAAAGGCUGGCGUUACUGGUAACGUAAGCCUUAAAUGCUAGUUAUGGUGUAUGAAAACGUAUGACAGUUGCUCUCCUGGGAGGUUACGACGUACAGAGUGGAUUCCAGUCGGUACGUUAGAUAUGCUCCGAGUGGAUCGUCGUCGACUGGAUGAUGGGGGCGUCCUUAGUUCAGUCGGAACUGUCUAAGGGUCUUGUCCUCUAUGAAGGGUAGUCCUUGGGUAGGACCUAUAGGGCAGACCUAUGACCCUACCUGGGGCUAUAACCCCAUCAUUAGUCCCCGAAUGGAUCGGGGUUGGAACGAUGAAGUGAUGUCCGAAGUUUGCAGCCGACUGGUAUUGAGGUGAUCUUAGCGUUGUCUGCCUCGAUCCAUUUUAUCUUUGUGGCUAGUGAUUCGAGUGAAUAUGCAAGCGAAACGAACCGUGAGGGACCGAUUGCUUCCGCGGAAUCUUUUGACGUGACCGGUCAUACUGACAGCGCCGGAUUUUCCGGGAUCCUCAAAUUUCGGUUGCCGCGCGCUCACGGGGGAUGACGACAUCGCCAUCGAGUAGAUUUCACCUCCUCGAUUACCGCACCGCGAUCUUCUCCACUAAUCUUGCAGCAGCCGGUUGGGAGGAUAAGAUCUUGGGCCCACCUGUAGGUGACCCAGUCGGAGGCCUAUUAAAGCCUUCCCGGCGGACCUUCCUGUUGUGCUGCUCGUCCUCUUCCCAUUGAUCUCGCCCCCCGCAACUCCCUGCACACCUCAAGCCACCUCCUUCCCGUCCUCCUCUGCGGAUCCGUCGCCCUCGCCAUGAUGAAGGGGCAGACCAGCAAGCUUGAGGCGAAGAAGAAGACGAAGGGGGCAGCUUCUACUUAGUGGCGGCAGCGGGCGUUGCCGGCGGGCUGGAUAUAAGGGGACUUCCUCCCCUCCACGGUGAGGGAGAACGACGUGCUGGAGCUGGUGGAGCACGGCAUGGUCGUCAACAAGUCUUGAAGGCUGCCGGAAGGCGAGAUGGAGCCGACGCCGAAGGAGGGGGAGCGCGUUCUACUGCUCAGCCACGUGGCCAGAGGUUUCUCCCUGCCUCCCCAUCCUUUCUUCCGAGGUAUCAUGAAUUACUUCAGGGCGCAGCUCCAUCACUUUCCGCCGAAUGCGAUAUCUCAUCUUUCCACAUUCAUCACCCUCUGUGAGUGCUUCAUAGGAUGUCCUCCCCACUGGGGGCUCUUCAGAUAUGUUUUCUCCGCUAGAUCUCAAACUGUUAAGAAGCUUAGACAGUCUGAUGAUAAGACACACAUCCUCCAGCUCUGCGGGGGUUUAGGAUUUCAGAAGACAACGAAAAGUAGUUAUCCCUCCCUUCAGCUAUCUGAGUCGGUUAGGAACUGGCAAUCGUCCUGGUUCUAUUGCCAGGACAUUGCCUGUCCGAAUGCUUCGAGUGGGUUACCACCCUUCAGUUUAGACCGCCCGGGCCCUCCCAGGAAGCUAGCGCUCUCUAAGGGAGAAAGAACUCAGAUCUAGCCUUUGGUCGACGCGCUGAUAUCCGUCGUCCGGAAGGGAGUCACCGGCAUGGACCUGUUGGAGACUUUUCUGGGUCGACGCAUCCAGCCGCUCCAGGCCCGAGACCACGCAAUGUGGCAUUACACGGGGCCUUCUGGUACCACUCGGUCCCAUCUUGAAGACGUGAGCGAGGAGACCGUGAGUGCGUGGGUCCGCAGCAUCACGGGCACAUGUGAUAACCCCGUGGGAGCUCGGCGGGUGAAGGCCUUCCGCGCCGAAAAUCCUCCUCCGAAUGAGGUGAGUACAUGUUGUCGAGUGCUUUUAACCUUCUCAGUUUUAUUGCUUUUCUUGUCUCGCUGACUGCCAUUGCUGACUGUGUUUUGUGCAGGAGUGGACGAACUGGCAUUCUGCAGUCUCAAACGGGAAUCCGGUCGAGGAAGAAGAAGGCAGCAUGGAGGGUAGCGCGGGUAGUGCCGAGUACAUCUCUGACAGUAGGAAGACGGAGGAGGAAACAGAAGAGGAGGAGGAGGAGAGUGAAGAGCAGAGCUCGUCACCCUCACUACCAGAACACCGAACCAAGCACCGUCAUGACCCCGCUGUUCUGCCGGCUCCUCCCAUGGCCCCGAGUGCUCGGAGUGUGAAGAGAACCAGGGGUGCUUCUGCCGAGCCCGUGGAUCAGCUGUCCAAGGUGGCUAAACCCAGCGGGUCUAAACCUCAGAAAGCUUUGCCCCGGAUGAGGAUCGCUGUUCCGGUCGCCUCAGCGUAAGUAUCUUUGCUCUCCCAUCUUCCUUUAGUAUCCGAUUGGACUCUUCUUUUUGGGAAUUCAUGUUUACCCGUCGAAUGGAUUUCACUCAACAGAGCUGCUACCUCCACCACCUCUCUGCCGCGUCAGAGUGACGAUCCCAUGGACACUGAUAACGCUACCACGUCCCAGCAAGGCACGUUGUCAUGACUCCGAGAGUUGUAUUACCGUUUCGCGAGUACUGUCUUUGAUCUUGAUCUUUUUCUGUAUUUUUAUUUUGUUCAGUUGGGGUUCCUUCGGAGGUGAUCCAUCUGGACGACGACGACCAAAGGAGGUCGGAACCAGCUUUGGCACCUGUCCCUGGGGUUAUCCAACCUGCUGCCAACCCCGCCAUGAGCGUGCCGCCGAUAGAGACGGUGGCCUUCACGGCGGAACCGACUGGAGCGGAGCUCGGGAUGCCCAGGGAGCUCGGGAUACCUAGGGCGCCUUCUGCCACGCCGGGUCCAUCGACUGUUCAAUAUGAUGCCCGACGCCUCCCGGAAGAUCAAGUAGGAGCCGCGAAGGACGCCAUGGUACAAGUGGAACUGAUGGUGGGCGAAGCCAAGGGAGCAUAUGACUCCAUUGCGUCCCUGUACAAGAAGAGCUUGGAGCUUCGGGAUGAUAUUCGAGUAAGUGCACUAGUAAGUGUUUACAUUCCUCUUGGUGCCCACUGGGGGUUUUAGCAAGAUACUCGGAUACAGUAGGUUGAUUUUCCAGUGGGUUCACUCUGAGUGGGACAUGUUCCGAGUGAAUUCCCGCCUUAAAAAGGUGGGUCCUUUCAUUGGUCCUUAACAAGGGGGUUUUAGCGAGAUACUCGGUACCAGUGGGGGCACGCCGAGUGCACCCACUGGGUGUAGUCCCCGAGAGUAGUGUUACUCAGGUCGAGUAAUAGUAAUCUCAUAGUGUUGUUGGUUUGCUAUGGAGCUCAAUGGGACCGACCUGUUCGAGCUUCAUACCAGUGGGGUCACUCUCAGUGAACCCACUGGGUGUAAUCCCCGAGACCGCUGUCGAUUGCUUGCAUCGGCAAGGGUCUGAAGAAUCUUGAGUUUUGAUUGUUUUGUCAUAUCUGUCGAGACUUUUUCCUUGUUGAAUUUGGCUGAUCCUCCCUUUGUGUCUCUUUGACAGAAGACUUGUGAAAUGGGAUCGGCCUAUAAUGCUCUGAAGGCUGAGAAGACUCAACUUGCUGCCGACUUGGAGGUAGCUUCGAAUGAUCUGGCUAGCAUGAAGAAGGCUCUCACUGAACGAGAAAAAUCUUUGGAGGAAUCUCGGGAGACUAACAAGGCACUGCUAGCCGAGGUAGAAAAAAUGAAGAAGGAGAGAUCUGAAUGGAUGGGCCAGCUGAAGUUAAUGAACACUCGGUGCAGAGCGCAGGAGAACUACGUCGGCGACUGGGCGAAGAAGAUGGUCGCACUGCUUGGUGGUAAGUUGCUUGCCGAGUGCUCUUUGACUUUGGAGUUCACUCCGCACUUAUUUUCUCCCUGUCUUUUCUUUGUAGAUUUCUGUAGGGACGUUGAAGCCGAAACUGCCGAAAUUGAAUGGUCGCUUGGGCAACCGAAUGUUCCACUCGGUGAUGAAGCUAACCGGGACAUGUUCCGAGUGAAUUCCCGCCUUAACAAGGUGGGUCCUUUCAUUGGUCGCCUGAGAGGAGUUGUCGGCCGAAUUGACAAAGAGCUUUGGCCUGAAGAUGACUCCCGGAAUGAGAUAGAGGGGUUGAUGACUCGACUGGAGGAUGUUCCGAGCAGACUGCAGGCAUGGAAGAAGUCUGCCGCUCGGUGUGGCGCGGACGUGGCGCUGUCUCUGGUCCAAGUGCAUUGUAAGGAAGCCCGCGAAGACAAGCUGAAGACGUUGCAGGUCACCAACACCAAGAAGCUUUGAUUUGAAGACUUUAUGGAGAACUUCCUCGAUGGGGCCACUCGGAUUGCAGACGGGAUCGACCUCGACACCUUCGUGGAGCCUGCCAGCCCCGGCGAUGCUUGAUUGACUUUAUGCUGAACGCGCAUUUACCUCGGUAUGUCGAGUGGAGUUUGUAUUAAACUUUGGCCACUGCUGUUGGCCGGUACAUUCCUGGCUCAGUGUGGAUAAACUUGAUUCACACCGAGCCGACUGAUCGUUGAACUCAAUUUGAAUUCGAACCAGAUCUUUUGCUCUUCCUUUGUUGAGUUUUUUUUGACACAAUUUUGGCUCGUGGUUUUUGUUUAGGCGACUCAGCUAAGCCUCCGAGUGUAACUUGUGUGCCCACUCGGAGGAAGGUUUUACUUAGGCGACUCUGGGUCGCAGCUAAGUCCCCGAGUGUGACUUUUGGUGCACACUCGGAGCAAGUUGUUACUUAGGCGACUCUGGGUCGCAGCUAUGUCUCCGAGUGUGACUUUUGGUGCACACUCGGAGCAAGUUUUUACUUAGGCGACUCUGCGUCGCAGCUAAGUCCCCGAGUGUGACUUUUGGUGCACACUCGGAGCGAGUUUUCACCUAGGCGACUCUGGGUCGCAGCUAAGUCCCCGAGUGUGACUUUUGGUGCACACUCGGAGCGAGUUUUUACUUAAGCGACUCUGGGUCGCAACUAAGUCCCCGAGUGUGACUUUUGGUGCACACUCGGAGCGAGUUUUUACUUAGACGACUCUGGGUCGCAGCUAAGUCUCCGAGUGUGACUUUUCGUGCACACUCGGAGCGAGNNNNNNNNNNNNNNNNNNNNNNNNNNNNNNNNNNNNNNNNNNNNNNNNNNNNNNNNNNNNNNNNNNNNNNNNNNNNNNNNNNNNNNNNNNNNNNNNNNNNNNNNNNNNNNNNNNNNNNNNNNNNNNNNNNNNNNNNNNNNNNNNNNNNNNNNNNNNNNNNNNNNNNNNNNNNNNNNNNNNNNNNNNNNNNNNNNNNNNNNNNNNNNNNNNNNNNNNNNNNNNNNNNNNNNNNNNNNNNNNNNNNNNNNNNNNNNNNNNNNNNNNNNNNNNNNNNNNNNNNNNNNNNNNNNNNNNNNNNNNNNNNNNNNNNNNNNNNNNNNNNNNNNNNNNNNNNNNNNNNNNNNNNNNAGUGCACACUCGGAGCGAUUUGUUUACUUAGGCAACUCUGGGUCGCAGCUAAGUCCCCGAGUGUGACUUCUAGUGCACACUCAGAACGAGUUGUUUACUUAAGCGACUCUGGGUCGCAGCUAAGUCCCCGAGUGUGACUUUUGGUGCACACUCGGAGUGAGUUUUUACUUAGGCGACUCUGGGUCGCAACUAAGUCCCCGAGUGUGACUUUUGGUGCACACUCGGAGAAAGUUUUUACUUAGGCGACUCUGGGUCGUAGCUAAGUCACCGAGUGUGACUUUUCAUGCACACUCGGAGCGAGUUGUUUACUUAGGCGACUCUGGGUUGCAGCUAAGUCCCCGAGUGUGACUUUUGGUGCACACUCGGAGUUAGUUUUUUUAGACCGGAGUCUGCAAAUGUGGAAGAAUUUUGAAUCAGCAAGAAAUUAAUCCGCUUUGUAUUACUUCGAUGACAUUUGUUCUUUACAUUGUCUGUGUCGGCGGUUCUGUGUAGAAGCGCUUCAGUAGAUCUCCAUUCCAUGCUCGCGGCUCGUCCAUCUCCCUGUCGAGGUUGUAGAGUCGAUAUGCUCCGUUGUUCAGCACCUUAGAAAUGAUGAACGGUCCUUCCCAGGCGGGAGCCAACUUGUGUGGUCUCUGUUGAUCCACUCGGAGCAGAAGGUCGCCUGCUUGGAACGUGCGGCUCCUGACGUGCCGCGCAUGAAAUCGCCGCAGAUCUUGUUGAUAAUUUGUUGAACGGAUUAAUGCCAUCUCGCGCUCCUCUUCUAAAAGGUCUACUCCGUCUUGCCUGGCUUGCUCUGCUUCGGCUUCGGAGAAGAGUUCGACUCGUGGAGAGUUGUGAAGCAAGUCACUCGGAAGGACCGCCUCUGCUCCAUAAACGAGAAAAAACGGGGAUCGCCCUGUCGAUCUAUUCGGAGUUAUUCGGAGGCCCCACAACACCGAAGGCAGCUCGGUGACCCAUGCGCCGGCGGCAUGUCCAACUUCCCGCAGGAGUCGAGGAUUCAACCCUUGAAGAAUGAGUCCAUUCGCCCGCUCCGCUUGUCCAUUUGUUUGGGGGUGCGGAACGGAUGCAAAAUCCACUCGGAUACCUUGGCCUGCGCAAAAACCUUUGAACCUGUCCGAGUCCAAGUUUGUGCCAUUGUCGGUGAUUAUGCUGUGUGGAACCCCGUAUCUGGCGAUGAUGUCCCUGAUAAAUUUGAUGACCGUAAGGGCAUCAAGCUUCUUGAUAGGCUUGGCUUCAAUCCACUUGGUAAAUUUGUCGACUGCUACCAGCAGAUGGGUGAAUCCUCCUUGGCCUGUUCUGAAUGGUCCGACUAUAUCUAACCCCACACGGCGAAUGGCCAAGAAAGGGGAAUUGUCUUCAGCGCAGACGUUGGCUUGUGGGACUUGUUUGAAUAGAACUGGCAACCCUCGCAAUGGUCGACUAUAUCUUUUGCCAUUUCAUUCGCCUGCAACCAGAAGAAACCAGCUCUGAACGCUUUGGCGACGAUUGCCCUUGAGGAGGCAUGAUGACCGCAGGUUCCCGAGUGAAUUUCUUCCAAAAUUAACUGUCUCUCUCAGGAGAGAUACAACGCUGAAGGACGCCUGAAACACUUUCUCUGUAUAACUGGUCAUCAAUGACGGUGAAGGACUUCGACCUGCGAACGAUCUGCCUAGCUUGGACCUCGUCUUCCGGUAACUCUUGCCUCAGGAUGUACGCAAUGAAUGGCACUGUCCAUUCGGGAAUAACAACUAGAACCUCCAUGACCAGGUCAACCACAGCGGGAACUUCAACUUCAGUCUGAUCUGUUGAGCUCUUCGGUUGCACAGGCUCCUCUCUAAAAGGAUCUUCUUUUACCGAGGGGAGGUGUAGGUGCUUGAGGCAGACAUCACUCGGGACAGGUCUCCGUGUGGAUCCAAGUUUUGCCUAUUCAUGUGCUGCUUGGUUUUUCAGUCGAGGAACAUUGUGAAGUUCCUGACCUUCGAACUUCUUCUCGAGCUUUCUUAUUGUGUUGCAGUAUGGAGUCAUGGUGGGGUUCCUUACACCCCAUUCCUUCAUUACUUGAUUAACCACUAGAUCUGAGUUGCCAUAGACCAUCAGGCGACGGACGCCGAGUGUGAUGGCCAUGCGCAACCCGUAAAGGAGAGCUUCGUACUCUGCUUCGUUGUUGUAAGAAUCAAAAUGGAUCUGCAACACAUACUUGAGUUUAUCACCUUUCGGGGAUAUGAGUACUACGCCUGCGCCGGAGCCAUUCAACAUCUUGGACCCAUCGAAGAACAUGGUCCAAUGAGCCGAGUAGAUGUGAGUCAGUUGCUGUUGUUCUACCCAUUCUGCUAUGAAGUCAGCAAGAGCUUGAGACUUUAUAGCUUUCUUGGCUUCGAACUUGAUGUUGCAGUAUAGCAUUUCCAUUGCCCACUUUGCCACUCGGCCUGAUGCGUCCCGAUUGUGGAGAAUUUCCGACAACGGAGCAUUAGAUAUGACCGAUAUCGAGUGGUCUUGGAAAUAAUGAGCCACCUUCUUUGCAGUCAUGUAGAUCCCAUAAAUAAGCUUCUGAUAAUGGNNNNNNNNNNNNNNNNNNNNNNNNNNNNNNNNNNNNNNNNNNNNNNNNNNNNNNNNNNNNNNNNNNNNNNNNNNNNNNNNNNNNNNNNNNNNNNNNNNNNAGAGGAGGAUUUUAAACGGAGUCCAAACGGAACGAAACUUCCAAAAAGAUUUUUUCCAAAACAGAAGAAGAUCGGGGAGCCUGAGAACCAGGGCAGGGGGCUACCAGGGACCCCACAAGCCCCCUAGCCGCGGCCAGGCGGGGGGCCCGCGCCUCCCAGGCUUGUUGGCUCCCUGGGCCACCUCUGCCCUAGGUCUUUCGCCUAUAUAUUCCCAAAAAUUCUAGAAAAAAUCAGGAGAUCAUCGAAAGUACUUUUCCGCCGCCGCAAGCUUAUGUCUGUGCAAGAUCCCAUUCGGGGCACGUUCUGGUGCCCUGCCAGAGGGGGGAUUCGGAUACGGAGGGCUUCUUCAUCAACACCAUGACCUCUCCNNNNNNNNNNNNNNNNNNNNNNNNNNNNNNNNNNNNNNNNNNNNNNNNNNNNNNNNNNNNNNNNNNNNNNNNNNNNNNNNNNNNNNNNNNNNNNNNNNNNNNNNNNNNNNNNNNNNNNNNNNNNNNNNNNNNNNNNNNNNNNNNNNNNNNNNNNNNNNNNNNNNNNNNNNNNNNNNNNNNNNNNNNNNNNNGGUGUGUUUGUCGAGAUCCGAUGAAUUGUGGAUUUAUGAUCAGAUUAUCUAUGAAUCUUAUUUGAGUUUCUUCUGAUCUCUUAUAUGCAGGAUUUCAUAUCCUUGUAAUUCUCUUCGAGUUGUGGGUUUUGUUUGGCCANNNNNNNNNNCUCUUUUGCGGUGUGUUUGUCGAGAUUCGAUGAAUUGUGGAUUAAUGAUCAGAUUAUCUAUGAAUCUUAUUUGAGUUUCUUCUGAUCUCUUANNNNNNNNNNNNNNNNNNNNNNNNNNNNNNNNNNNNNNNNNNNNNNNNNNNNNNNNNNNNNNNNNNNNNNNNNNNNNNNNNNNNNNNNNNNNNNNNNNNNGCUGUUGGCCGGUACAUUCCUGGCUCAGUGUGGAUAAACUUGAUUCACACCGAGCCGACUGAUCGUUGAACUCAAUUUGAAUUCGAACCAGAUCUUUUGCUCUUCCUUUGUUGAGUUUUUUUUGACACAAUUUUGGCUCGUGGUUUUUGUUUAGGCGACUCAGCUAAGCCUCCGAGUNNNNNNNNNNNNNNNNNNNNNNNNNNNNNNNNGGAUCUUUUGCUCUUCCUUCGCUGAGUUUUUUUACACGAUUUUGGCUCGUGGUUUUUGUUUAGGCGACUCAGCUAAGCCUCCGAGUGUAACUUGUGUGCCCACUCGGAGGAAGGUUUUACUUAGGCGACUCUGGGUCGCAGCUAAGUCCCCGAGUGUGACUUUUGGUGCACACUCGGAGUGAGUUUUCACCUAGGCGACUCUGGGUCGCAGCUAAGUCCCCGAGUGUGACUUUUGGUGCACACUCGGAGUAAGUUGUUACUUAGGCGACUCUGGGUCGCAGCUAUGUCUCCGAGUGUGACUUUUGGUGCACACUCGGAGCAAGUUUUUACUUAGGCGACUCUGCGUCGCAGCUAAGUCCCCGAGUGUGACUUUUGGUGCACACUCGGAGCGANNNNNNNNNNUUUGUUUACUUAGGCAACUCUGGGUCGCAGCUAAGUCCCCGAGUGUGACUUCUAGUGCACACUCAGAACGAGUUGUUUACUUAAGCGACUCUGGGUCGCAGCUAAGUCCCCGAGUGUGACUUUUGGUGCACACUCGGAGUGAGUUUUUACUUAGACGACUCUGGGUCGCAGCUAAGUCUCCGAGUGUGACUUUUCGUGCACACUCGGAGCGAGUUGUUUACUUAGGCGACUCUGGGUCGCAGCNNNNNNNNNNGGCGACUCUGGGUCGCAACUAAGUCCCCGAGUGUGACUUUUGGUGCACACUCGGAGAAAGUUUUUACUUAGGCGACUCUGGGUCGUAGCUAAGUCACCGAGUGUGACUUUUCAUGCACACUCGGAGCGAGUUGUUUACUUAGGCGACUCUGGGUUGCAGCUAAGUCCCCGAGUGUGACUUUUGGUGCACACUCGGAGUUAGUUUUUUAGACCGGAGUCUGCAAACGUGGAAGAAUUUUGAAUCGACAAGAAAUUAAUCCGCUUUGUAUUACUUCGAUGACAUUUGUUCUUUACAUUGUCUCUGUCGGCGGUUAUGUGUAGAAGCGCUUCAGUAGAUCUCCAUUCCAUGCUCGCGGCUCGUCCAUCUCCCUGUCGAGGUUGUAGAGUCGAUAUGCUCCGUUGUUCAGCACCUUAGAAAUGAUGAACGGUCCUUCCCAGGCGGGAGCCAACUUGUGUGGUCUCUGUUGAUCCACUCGAAGCACCAGGUCGCCUGCUUGGAACGUGCGGCUCCUGACGUGCCACGCAUGAAAUCGCCACAGAUCUUGUUGAUAAAUUGUUGAACGGAUUAAUGCCAUCUCGCGCUCCUCUUCUAAAAGGUCUACUCCGUCUUGCCUGGCUUGCUGUGCUUCGGCUUCGGAGAAGAGUCCGACUCGUGGAGAGUUGUCAAGCAAGUCACUCGAAAGGACCGCCUCUGCUCCAUAAACGAGAAAAAACGGGGAUCGCCCUGUNNNNNNNNNNGAGCAGAAGGUCGCCUGCUUGGAACGUGCGGCUCCUGACGUGCCGCGCAUGAAAUCGCCGCAGAUCUUGUUGAUAAUUUGUUGAACGGAUUAAUGCCAUCUCGCGCUCCUCUUCUAAAAGGUCUACUCCGUCUUGCCUGGCUUGCUCUGCUUCGGCUUCGGAGAAGAGUUCGACUCGUGGAGAGUUGUGAAGCAAGUCACUCGGAAGGACCGCCUCUGCUCCAUAAACGAGAAAAAACGGGGAUCGCCCUGUCGAUCUAUUCGGAGUUAUUCGGAGGCCCCACAACACCGAAGGCAGCUCGGUGACCCAUGCGCCGGCGGCAUGUCUAACUUCCCGCAGGAGUCGAGGCUUCAACCCUUGAAGAAUGAGUCCAUUCGCCUGCUCCUCUUGUCCAUUUGUUUGGGGGUGCGCAACGGAUGCAAAAUCCACUCGGAUACCUUGGCCUGUGCAAAAACCUUUGAACCUGUCCGAGUCAAAGUUUGUGCCAUUGUCGGUGAUUAUGUUGUGUGGAACCCCGUAUCUGGCGAUGAUGUCUCUGAUAAAUUUGAUGGCCGUAAGGGCAUCAAGCUUCUUGAUAGGCUUGGCUUCAAUCCACUUGAUAAAUUUGUCGACUGCUACCAGCAGAUGGGUGAAUCCUCCUUGGCCUGUUCUGAAUGGUCCGACUGUAUCUAACCCCCACACGGAGAAUGGCCAAGAAAGGGGAAUUGUCUUCAGCGCGGACGUUGGCUUGUGGGACUUGUUUGAAUAGAAUUGGCAACCCUCGCAACGGUCGACUAUAUCUUUUGCCAUUUCAUUCGCCUACAACCAGAAGAAACCGGCUCUGAACGCUUUGGCGACGAUUGCCCUUGAGGAGGCAUGAUGACCGCAGGUUCCCGAGUGAAUUUCUUCCAAAAUUAACUGUCCCUCCUCAGGAGAGAUACAACGCUGAAGGACGCCUGAAACACUUUCUCUGUAUAACUGGUCAUCAAUGACGGUGAAGGACUUCGACCUGCGAACGAUCUGCCUAGCUUGGACCUCGUCUUCUGGUAAAUCUUGCCUCAGGAUGUACGCAAUGAAUGGCACAGUCCAUUCGGGAAUAACAGCUAGAAUCUCCAUGACCAGGUCAACCACUGCGGGAACUUCGACUUCAGUCUGAUCUGUUGAGCUCUUAGGUUGCACACGCUCCUUUGUAAAAGGAUCUUCUUUUACCGAGGGGAGGUGUAGGUGCUCGAGGCAGACAUCACUCGGGACAGGUCUCCAUGUGGAUCCAAGUUUUGCCAAUUCAUCUGCUGCUUGGUUUUUCAGUCGAGGAACAUGGUGAAGUUCCAGACCUUCGAACUUCUUCUCGAGCUUUCUUAUUGCGUUGCAGUAUGCAGUCAUGGUGGGGUUCCUUACAUCCCAUUCCUUCAUUACUUGAUUAACCACUAGAUCUGAGUCGCCAUAGACCAUCAGGCGACGGACGCCGAGUUUGAUGGCCGUGCGCAACCCGUAAAGGAGAGAUUUGUACUCUGCUUCGUUGUUGGAAGAAUCAAAAUGGAUCUGCAACACAUACUUGAGCUUAUCACCUUUCGGGGAUAUGAGUACUACGCCGGCGCCGGAGCCAUUCAACAUCUUGGACCCAUCGAAGAACAUGGUCCAAUGAGCCGAGUAGAUGUGAGUCGGUUGCUGUUGUUCUACCCAUUUUGCUAUGAAGUCAGCAAGAGCUUGAGACUUUAUAGCUUUCUUGGCUUCGAACUUGAUGUUGCAGUAUAGCAUUUCCAUUGCCCACUUUGCCACUCGGCCUGAUGCGUCCCGAUUGUGGAGAAUUUCCGACAACGGAGCAUUAGAUAUGACCGAUAUCGAGUGGUCUUGGAAAUAAUGAGCCACCUUCUUUGCAGUCAUGUAGAUCCCAUAAAUAAGCUUCUGAUAAUGGGGAUACCUUUGCUUGGAAGGAGUCAGGACUUCGGAAACAUAAUAUACUGGCCGCUGAACCUUGUACGCUUUGCCUUCUUCUUCACGUUCGACUGUCAGAACGGUGUUGACGACUUGAUUUGUAGCCGCGAUGUACAGAAGAAGGGGUUCUUUACUUAGCGGGGCAGUAAGAACCGGAUGGGUGGAGAGCAGGGCUUUGAGGUCGUCGAAUGCGGUUUGGGCUUCGUCUAUCCACUCGAAGGUAUCCGACUUCUUCAUGAGUCGGUACAGAGGUAACGCCUUCUCACCGAGUCGAGCGAUAAACCUGCUCAAAGCCGCUAGGCAACCUGUGAGCUUUUGUAUGUCAUGUACUCUUACCGGCCGCUCCAUUCGAACAAUGGUCCCGAUCUUCUCGGGGUUAACGUCGAUCCCUCGUUCGGAAACAAAGAAACCGAGUAACUUCCCGCUGGGAACGCCGAAUGNNNNNNNNNNGCCGAGUCGAGCGAUAAACCUGCUCAAAGCCGCUAGGCAACCUGUGAGAUUUUGUACGUCAUGUACUCUUAUCGGCCGCUCCAUUCGAACAAUGGUCCCGAUAUUUUCGGGGUUGACGUCGAUCCCUUGUUCGGAAACAAAGAAACCGAGUAACUUCCCGCUGGGAACGCCGAAUGAACACUUGGCUGGGUUGAGCUUGAUAUCGUACCUACGUAGGUUGGCGAAUGUUUGUGCCAAGUCGGUCAGUAGGUCGGAACCUUUGCGUGACUUGACUACGAUAUCGUCCAUAUAUGCCUCCACAUUUCGACCAAUCUAGUCUAGGAGGCAUUUUUGGAUCAUUCGCAUAAAAGUUGCUCCUGCAUUCUUCAAACCGAAUGGCAUAGUGAUGUAACAGAAGCACCCGAAUGGGGUGAUGAAAGAUGUUUUUAAUUCAUCUGGACCAUACAGACGGAUCUGAUGAUAGCCCGAAUAGGCAUCAAGGAAGGAUAAGCGCUCGCAACCCGCAGUCGAAUCAACAAUUUGAUCAAUGCGGGGGAGCGGGAAGUGGUCUUUCGGACGUACCUUAUUAAGGUGCUUGAAAUCGAUGCACAUACGGAGAGACUUGUCCUUCUUGGGCACCAUGACCACAUUAGCAAGCCACUUGGAGUGGUGUACCUCGCGAAUGAAGUUGGCCGCCAGAAGUUUAGCUACCUCCUCUCCGNNNNNNNNNNAACCCGUAGUCGAAUCAACAAUUUGAUCAAUGCGGGGGAGCAGGAAGUGGUCUUUCGGACAGACCUUAUUAAGGUGCUUGAAAUCGAUGCACAUACAGAGAGACUUGUCCUUCUUGGGCACCAUGACCACAUUAGCGAGCCACUCGGAGUGGUGACCUCGCGAAUGAAGUUGGCCGCCAGAAGUUUAGCUACCUCCUCUCCGAUUGCUUUUCUCUUGUGCGCGGCGGACCGACACAGGCCUUCUCGGACCGGCCGAGCGGCAGGAUCCACAUGCAGUCGGUGCUCAGCCAACUCCCUGGGUACACCUGGCAUGUCAGCAUGCUUCCAUGCAAAAAUGUCCCACUUCUCACGGAGGAAUUGGAUGAGCUCGACUUCCUAUUUUGGAUCAAGGGUGGUGGAGAUGUUUGUUGGGGNNNNNNNNNNNNNNNNNNNNNNNNNNNNNNNNNNNNNNNNNNNNNNNNNNNNNNNNNNNNNNNNNNNNNNNNNNNNNNNNNNNNNNNNNNNNNNNNNNNNGAUACACACAUACAUAACAUUGAGACCAAAAGAGUUAGAGUUAACAAUGAUAGCGCCAUAUUUUUGUGGCACUACCGCUUAGGUCAUAUUGGCGUAAAGCGCAUGAAGAAACUCCAUGCCGAUGGACUUUUGGAGUCACUUGACUUUGAUUCACUUGANNNNNNNNNNUGCCUCAUGGGCAAGAUGACUAAAACUCCGUUCUCCGGAACAAUGGAGCGUGCAAGUGACUUGUUGGAAAUCAUACAUACCGAUGUGUGUGGUCCGAUGAGCGUAGAGGCACGCGGCGGAUAUCGUUAUUUUCUCACCUUCACUGACGAUUUGAGUAGAUAUGGUUAUGUCUACUUAAUGAAGAACAAGUCUAAAACAUUUGAAAAGUUCAAGCAAUUUCAGAGUGAAGUUGAAAAUCAUCGUAACAAGAAGAUCAAGUUCCUACGGUCUGAUCGUGGGGGUGAAUAUCUGAGUUUCGAGUUUGGUGCUCACUUAAGACAAUGUGGAAUUGUUUCACAGUUGACACCGCCUCGAACACCACAACGUAAUGGUGUGUCCGAACGUCGUAAUCGUACUUUGUUAGAAAUGGUGCGAUCUAUGAUGUCUCUUAUAGAUUUGUCGUUAUCGUUUUGGGGUUAUGCAUUAGAGACAGCUGCAUUCACUUUAAAUAGGGCCCCAUCAAAAUCCGUUGAGACGACACCAUACGAACUGUGGUAUGGCAAAAGACCAAAGUUGUCGUUUCUUAAAGUUUGGGCAUGUGAUGCUUAUGUCAAAAAGCUUCAGCCUGAAAAGCUCGAACCCAAAGCGGAAAGGUGUGUCUUCAUAGGUUACCCAAAGGAGACAGUUGGGUACACCUUCUAUCUCAAAUCCGAGGGCAAAGUGUUUGUUGCUAAAAAUGGAGCUUUUCUUGAGAAGGAGUUUCUCUCGAAAGAAUUGAGUGGGAGGAAGAUAGAACUGGAUGAGGUUCUCGAGCCUCUAGUCCCUCUAGAUGGUGGCGCAGGGCAAGGGGUAACCCCUAUCGUUGUGACGCCGGUUGAGGACGAAGUUGAUGAUGAUGAUCAUGAAACUUCAGAUCAAGUUCCUAUCGGACCUCGCACGUCGACAAGAUCACGUACUACUCCUGAGUGGUACGGUAAUCCUGUCUUAUCAAUCAUGUUGUUAGACAACAAUGAACCUGCGAAUUAUGAAGAAGCAAUGGUGGGCCCGGAUUCCAACAAAUGGCUGGAGGCCAUGAAGUCCAAGAUAGGAUCUAUGUACAAAAACAAAGUGUGGACUUUGGAAGUACUACCUGAAGGCCGCAAGGCUAUUCAGAACAAAUGGAUCUUUAAGAAGAAGACGGACGCAGACGGUAAUGUGCCAUUUACAAAGCUCGACUUGUGGCAAAGGGUUUUUCAAAAGUUCAAGGAAUUGACUACAAUGAGACAUUCUCACCGGUAGCGAUGCUUAAGUCCGUCCGAAUCAUGUUAGCAAUAGCUGCAUUUUUCGAUUAUGAAAUCUGGCAGAUGGAUGUCAAAACGGAGUUCCUUAAUGGUUUUCUUAAGGAAGAGUUGUAUAUGAUGCAACCCGAAGGUUUUGACGAUCCAAAGAAUGCUGACAAAGUAUGCAAGCUCCAGCGAUCCAUUUAUGGACUGGUGCAAGCAUCACGGAGUUGGAAUAAGCACUUUGAUGAGGUGAUCAAAGCAUUUGGGUUUAUACAAGUGGUUGGAGAAUCUUGUAUUUACAAGAAAGUGAGUGGGAGCUCUGUGGCGUUUCUAAUAUUAUAUGUGGAUGACAUAUUGUUGAUUGGAAACAACGUAGAGUUUUUGGAGAGCAUAAAGGAUUACUUUAAUAAAAGUUUCUCAAUGAAGGACCUAGGAGAAGCUGCUUACAUUCUAGGCAUUAAGAUCUAUAGGGAUAGAUCAAAAUGCCUGAUAGGACUUUCACAAAGCACAUACCUUGAUAAAGUUUUGAAGAGGUUCAAAAUGGAACAGUCCAAGAAGGGGUUCUUGCCAGUUUUACAAGGUACGAGAUUGAGUAAGACUCAGUUCCCAGCAACUGAUGAGGAUAGAGAGCAUAUGCGCUCCGUCCCCUGUGCUUCAGCCAUAGGUUCUAUCAUGUAUGCAAUGUUGUGCACUAGACCGGACGUUAGCCUGGCCAUAAGUAUGGCAGGUAGGUUCCAGAGUAAUCCAGGAGUGGAUCACUGGACAGCGGUCAAGAAUAUCCUGAAGUACCUGAAAAGGACUAAGGAGAUGUUNNNNNNNNNNNNNNNNNNNNNNNNNNNNNNNNNNNNNNNNNNNNNNNNNNNNNNNNNNNNNNNNNNNNNNNNNNNNNNNNNNNNNNNNNNNNNNNNNNNNAUAGAGGGGCCUGAACUCAUACAUCCUUGCCGUAGCUAAGGCUCUGCCCAUAUACUUUCGUACCCCAUACUUCUAUUGUCAGACUUAUACCCACGACAGUUGGCGCCCACCAUGGGGCAGGCGUCUAAGCGGCUUCCGGCGAGUUUGCAAUUUCAUGUUUUCGUCAUGUCAUCCAGCGGAGAUCUGUGCAUGGGUCAUGAGAUCCUCUUCUGUGCACUCUCCUUCAUCGCCGAUGAUUCGGCAUGGCUUCAGGAUGCGCCCGUCGACAUCGAGACGCUUCUGUGUCGCGGCGCUACGCACUUCCGUGCCAGUUCCUGCGGCAUUCUUCUUCUCCAGCCAUCAACCCGAGUGUCGAUCUUUGCCCCCGUCAUGCACCGCAACAAGCGAUCCGGUUGGUCGCGGCUCCAGCGUUGGGUGCGACACGCCCUAGCGUGACAAAACAUGUCCUCUCAAGUGGCGGUGCUCGAAUCGGUUGUGGUCCCGUCGUCAUCCCAGUGCUUGGAGUCAGUUCCGACUGAACUACCUUCCGAGUAUCAGGGUCACGGGCCUGCAGCCGAAGAACUCAUGGCCGAUUCCCACGGAAGUCCCCUCGGGACUGGUCGGAACGAGCGUGAGUUCGGAGAAUCAUCCGGCGCUCGUCGUCAGCACCUUCGUUCUUCCAGUCGACGCACUCGCCAGAGCAACGUCGAGGUGUUCCGCACACCCACCCUCAACUUGGUUGCAGCCGCCAGGAUAGAUGAUUCUCUCCAGCCGACUGAUUCGGAGUCUGGUAGAGGAAUCGAGCAGAUCCGUGCCUUGUUACAUACGGCGCAGCAGCAAAACUGGCGGUCUCCCAGUCGCACAACAAGAUCCACAACAGUUCCGUUCAAGCGAACACACAUCGGUCGGUUUUCAGUCCCGACUCUUACCAGCUACGCGGAGGGGGCAGCCGUUGCAGGGACCCGAGUCGGAAUCCGCUUUCCAUUUGGUCUCAUCCCGAAGAUCGUCGCCGUUCGCGUACUCCUCCACGGAGUGGGCCUUACGGACCCCGGCAUUACGAUGAUCAUCGUUUGGGCGGUGGCGCGCAUGAUCAAAGGCAUGAUGCAAGAGGGUAUAUCACUCAGAAGAAGGUCGAUAGAAGUCGAGCCCACCGUGAUGGUAACGAUAGAGACUGUCCGAGUGGAAGCAAGACCGUUGUUUCUGGUCCCGAGUGCUUCGGUCGGGCCAUCCGCUCGGCUGACAUCCCUCCCAACUUCUGAUUGGCGACGGGAAUCAGCAAAUUCACAGGAGAGUCCAAACUAGAAACUUGGUUAGACGACUACAGAGUGGCGGUCCAGAUCGGUGGCGGNNNNNNNNNNNNNNNNNNNNNNNNNNNNNNNNNNNNNNNNNNNNNNNNNNNNNNNNNNNNNNNNNNNNNNNNNNNNNNNNNNNNNNNNNNNNNNNNNNNNGCUUGAUCUAUGAUUCUUGCAAUGGGAGAAGUGCUUGGUUUUGGGUUCAUACCGUGCGGUGACCUCACCCAGUGACAGAAGGGGUAGUGAGGCAUGCAUCGUGUUGUUGCCAUCAAGGGUAAAAAGAUGGGUUUUCAUCAUUGCUUUGAGAUUAUCCCUCUACAUCAUGUCAUCUUGCUUAAGGUGUUACUCUGUUCGUCAUGAACUCAAUACACUAGAUGGAUGAUGGAUAGCGGUCGAUGUGUGGAGUAAUAGUAGUAGAUGCAGAAAGUAUCGGUCUACUUGUCUUGGAUGUGAUGCCUAUAUGUAUGAUGAUUGCCUUAGAUAUCGUCAUGACUUUGCGCAGUUCUAUCAAUUGCUCGACAGUAAUUUGUUCACGCACCGUAAUAUUUGCUAUUUUGAGAGAAUCCUCUAGUGAAUACUAUGGCCCCGGGGUCUACUCCACACCAUAUUUCCAGCCUUACUCUUUUACUUCGUUGCACUUUCCGCCUUCAGAUCUCACUNNNNNNNNNNACAAUCAAUCUUGAAGGGAUUGAGAACCCCUUUAUAGCGUUGGGUGCAAGCUCGUUUGUGUUUGCGAGGUACUCUAGACUUGACAAGAUUCUCCUACCGGAUUGAUACCUCGGUUCUCAAACUGAGGGAAAUACUUACUGCUCCUGUGCUGCAUCACCCUUUCCUCUUCAAGGGAAGAACAACGCAAGCAAGUCUCCGUCAACGUGUCAAUUUCUGGCGCUGUUGUUUGAGAAGUAGCAACAAGAAUUUCUGGCGCCUUUUCCGGGGAGAUUCAAGUCAAGAACUCAUCCAAGUAAGUGUCGCAAACUCAUCUCUUGCAUUUACUUUUAUGCCUCUCGUUUUCCUUGCCCCCACUUCUGAAAAACAAAAAUUUACAAAAAUAUUUGCCUUUUUUGUUCGCCCUUUUCUUUCGCUUGCUUUCUGCGUGCUUGAGUGGGAUAGUCUACCGAUCCUCAUGGCUAGACCUACCGCUUCGAACGAUACUCCCGAGAGCGAAGUUCUCAAUUCUAGACAAAAUGAGGAAGAAAACUUAAAGGACGCUUGGUAUAUGAUUUGCAAUGCUCAGAGUAUAUCUACUCGUAAGCAAUCUACUACCGUCCUACUUUGCAGCUUUUAUGUGGGUAUUUCUCCUUGGAAUAGGUAUGUUCUUGACACCAUCGUAGGCAGAAAUCUCUUGGGUAGCCAUACCGUUGAUUCUUACGGUGCUUUAAUAAAUUUAUUUGGCUCACCCCCACUCAUGGUUAAUGGAACUACCUUAACUCUGGAACAUGUGAUGCGUAGGCAGGAUAUCAUUGAAAAUAAAGUUGCUACGAUUGAACUCAUUGAGAAUUUGGAUAAAAAGAUCCACAAUCAAAUCACUAAGUAUGGAUCCAAGGUGGGAAUGACUUUGAAAAAUUUAAAGGAGAGGGAACCCACAGUUAACGAAAAACUAGGUCAUGAUUCCGCUAGGAUUGGCAAACUAGAGGAUGUUAUAACCAACUUGGGUUCCGCUUUUGCCGCUGUGCAGAACAGUCCAAAUUUUGCCCAAAAUAAGGCCACCAAGGCUGUUUUUAUUCCUAAAAAUAGCGGUGAACCAUAUAGUAAAAGAGAUGAAGACCUUAAUAUGAUGAGUGUUCACCCUACUUAUGGUUUGAGUACCAAAGACGAUGAUACGUGAUUCUAUCGUCUUAUGCCUAGCUAAGGGCGUUAAACAAUAGCGCUUGUUGGGAGGCAACCCAAUGAAUUUAUCCUUUCUUUUUUGCUUUCUGUUUUGUUGCGUCCACACCAUCAUAGUUCUGUUAUGAUUGUGUCUUUUGUGUUUGAGCCAAGUAAAACCUUUAUGACUAGUUUGGUGAUCGUUGUUUGAUCAUGCUGGAAAAAGACAGAAACUUUUCGCUCACGAAAUUAUUUUUCAUUUUUUAUCCAGAAAGAGCUUUUGAGUUGAUUCUUUUUGCUGCUGGUUGAUAUGCCAAUUUCCCAAACUAUCGUAAUUUGUCAGAAUAUUUGAGAUACCACAAGUAUACGAAGUAUACAGAUUCCUAGAGACUGGUCUGUUUUUGAUAGAUUCUGUUUUUGUUGUGUUGAUUGCUUAUUAUGAUGAAACUAUGGAUAGUAUCGGGGGUAUUAGCCAUGUAAAAGUGAGAAUACAGUAAUAUAACACCAAUAUAAAUAGAAAUAAAGUUUGCUACAGUACCUCAAGAGGUGGUAGUUUGUUUUCUUGUGCUAAUGAUAUCACGAGUUUCUGUUUAAGUUUUGUGUUGUGAAGUUUUCAAGUUUUGGGUGCUGUUCUCAUGGACAAAGAGAUAAGGAGUGAAAAGAGCUCAAGCUUGGGUAUGCCCAAGGCAUCCCAAGCCAAAUUCAAGGACACCAAAAAGCCUAAGCUUNNNNNNNNNNUUUUUGGUUCUGGUUUAUAUGCCUUUUGCCCAGGCAGUCGUAAUUUGUCAGAAUUGUUGAGGUACCAGAAGUAUACAAAGUAUACAGAUUGCUACAGACUGGUCUGUUUUUUACAGAUUCUGUUUUUGUGGAGUUGGUUGCUUGUUUUGAUGAAACUAUGGUUAAUAUCGGGGGGGUACUAGCCAUGGAAAAGUGAGAAUACAGUAGCCCAACACCAAUAUAGAUAGAAUUCAAGUUUGCUACAGUACCAAAAGAGGUGGUAGUUUGUUUUCUUGUGCUAAUGUUAUCACGAGUUUCUGUUUAAGUUUUGUGUUGUGAAGUUUUUAAGUUUUGGGUGAUCUUCUCAUGGACAAAGAGAUAAGGAGUGGAAAGAGCUCAAGCUUGGGAAUUCCCAAGGCAUCCCAAGCCAAAUUCAAGGACACCAAAAAGCCUAAGCUUGGAGAUGCCCCGGGAAGGCAUCCCCUCUUCCGUCUUCAAUCCAUCGGUAACAUUACUUGGAGCUAUAUUUUUAUUCACCACAUGAUAUGUGUUUUUCUUGGAGAGUCUUGUAUCGUAGUAGUCUUUUCUUUUUGUUGUGUCACAAUCAUCCUUGCUGCACACCUUUUGAUAGAGACAUGCACUCAUCGUGAUUUUGCUAGAAUGCUCAUCGUGCUUCACUUAUAUCUUUUGAGCUAGAUAAAUUUGCUCUUUGUGCUUCACUUAGAUAUUUUAGAGCACGGUGGUGCGUGACUUGGUAGUUGGCUUGUUCUAUGAAAGUAGUCCCAAAGGUGAUAGGUACCCAAAGAGGAUAGAAAAAUAAACCUCCAUCUUCAUGUGCAUUGAGUAGAAAGAUAAGUCUUGAUUCCUCUCAAUUAGUUUUGAGACAUGGAUUUGGUAAUAUUAAGAGUUAUGUUAGUAGGGUGUUGUGAAUCUAGAAAUACUUGUGUUGAAGAUAGUGAUUCUUGUAGCAUGCACGUAUGGUGAACCGCUAUGUUAGGAAGUCAGAGCAUAAUUGAUCUAUUGAUUGUCAUCCUUUGUGUUGAGGUCGGGAUCGCGCGAUGGUUAACACCUACCAACCCUUCCCCUAGGAUUAUGCGUUUAGCACUUUGUUUUAAUUACUAAUAAAAACUUCCGCAACAAGUAUGUGAGUUCUUCAUGACUAAUGUGAGUCCAUGAUAUAGAUGCACUUUCACCUUCCACCAUUGAUAGCCUCUCUAGUGCCGCGCAACUUUCGCCGGUACACAAACCCACCAUAUGCCUUCCUCAAAACAGCCACCAUACCUACCUACUAUGGCAUUUUCAUAGCCAUUCCAAGAUAUAUUGCCAUGCAACUCCCAUCGUUCCGUCUCAUGACUUGUGUCGUCACUCUCAUAUUGCCUUUGCAUGAUCGUAAGAUAGCUAGCGAGAUGUUUCAACGUCAUACGCCAAGCUAGAUCGUUGCACAUCCGUGUACACUGCCGGAGGCAUUUCCUAUAGAGUCAUCAUCGUUCUAUGCUUUGAGCUGUGAGUAAAUAAAAGUGUGAUGAUCAUCAUUACUGGAGCAUUGAACCAUGUGAGGAAUUAAAAAAAAGAGGCCAAAGAGCCCAAAUAAAAAAAAGGGGAGAGAAAAAAAGAGAGGCCCAAGUGCCCAAAAAAAAGAGAAAAAGAGAGAAGGGACAGUGCUACUAUCUUUUUCCACACUUGUGCUUCAUAAUAGCACCAUGUUCUUCAUGAUUGAGAGCCUCUUGUUUCGUCACCACCGUAUGCUAGUGGGAAUCUUUACUAUAUAACUUGGCUUGUAUAUGUUGGGGAACGUCGCAUGGGAAACAAAAAUUAUCCUACGCGCACGAAGACCUAUCAUGGUGAUGUCCAUCCACGAGAAGGGAUGUGUGAUCUACGUACCCUUGUAGACUGUACAGCAGAAGCGUUAGUGAACGCGGUUGAUGUAGUGGAACGUCCUCACGUCCCUCGAUCCGCCCCGCGAACCGUCCCGCGAUCAGUCCNNNNNNNNNNNNNNNNNNNNNNNNNNNNNNNNNNNNNNNNNNNNNNNNNNNNNNNNNNNNNNNNNNNNNNNNNNNNNNNNNNNNNNNNNNNNNNNNNNNNNNNNNNNNNNNNNNNNNNNNNNNNNNNNNNNNNNNNNCUACAACUCGACGAUGAUCUCGGCCUUCUUGAUCCAGCAAGAGAGACGGAGAGGUAGAAGAGUUCCCCGACAGCAUGACGGCGCUCCGGAGGUUGGUGAUGAUCUUGUCUCAGCAGGGCUCCGCCCGAGCUUCGCAGAAACGCGAUCUAGAGGAAAAGCCGUGGAGGUAUGUGGUCGGGAUGCCGUGGAAAAGUCGUCUCAAAUCAGCCCUAAAACCUCCCUAUAUAUAGGGGGAAGAGGGGGAGCCUUGCCUUGAGGUCCAAGGACCCCUAAGGGUUUCGGCCGAGCCAAGGGGGGAAAGUCUCCCCCCCAAACCGAGUCCAACUUGGUUUGGAAGGUGGUGUCCUUCUUCCCUUUCCCACCUCCUCCUUUUUUUUCUUUUCUCUUUGANNNNNNNNNNUCGGGGAGAACACAAUUUCGUCUUGAAAUUUUAGUGAGAGAUCACCUCAUAAUGCUACCGUCGUUCUAAGCAAAAUAAGGUGCAUAAAAGGAUUAACAUCACAUGCGAUUCAUAAGUGACAUGAUAUGGCCAUCAUCACAUGCUCCUUGAUCUCUAUCACAAAGCACCGACACGAUCUUCUUGUCACUGGCGCCACACCAUGAUCUCCAUCAACGUGUCGCCAUCGGGGUUGUCGUGCUACUCAUGCUAUUACUACUAAAGCUACAUCCUAGCAAAAUAGUAAACGCAUCUGCAAGCACAAACAUUAGUAUAAAGACAACCCUAUGGCUCCUGCCGGUUGCCGUACCAUCGACGUGCAAGUCGAUAUUAUCUAUUACAACAUGAUCAUCUCAUACAUCCAAUAUAUCACAUCACAUCGUUGGCCAAAUCACAUCACAAGCAUACCCUGCAAAAACAAGUUAGACGUCCUCUAAUUUUGUUGUUGCAUGUUUUUCGUGGAGACCAUGGGUAUCUAGUAGGAUCGCAUCUUACUUACGCAAACACCACAACGGAGAUAUAUGAGUUGCUAUUUAACCUCAUCCAAGGACCUCCUCGGUCAAAUCCGAUUCAACUAAAGUUGGAGAAACUGACACCCACCAGUCAUCUUUGAGCAACGGAGUUACUCGUAGCGAUGAAACCAGUCUCUCAUAAGCGUACGAGUAAUGUCGGUCCGAGCCGCUUCGAUCCAACAAUACCGCGGAAUCAAGAAAAGACUAAGGAGGGCAGCAAAACGCACAUCACCGCCCACAAAAACUUUUGUGUUUGACUCGAGAAGACAUCUACGCAUGAACCUAGCUCAUGAUGCCACUGUUGGGGAACAUCGCAUGGGAAACAAAAAUUUUCCUACGCGCACGAAGACCUAUCAUGGUGAUGUCCAUCUACGAGAAGGGAUGUGUGAUCUACGUACCCUUGUAGACCGUACAGCAGAAGCGUUAGUGAACGCGGUUGAUGUAGUGGAAUGUCCUCACGUCCCUCGAUCCGCCCCGCGAACCGUCCCGCGAUCAGUCCCACGAUCUAGUGCCGAACGGACGGCACCUCCGCGUUCAGCACACGUACAGCUCGACGAUGAUCUCGGCCUUCUUGAUCCAGCAAGAGAGACGGAGAAGUAGAAGAGUUAUCCGGCAGCGUGACGGCGCUCCGGAGGUUGGUGAUGAUCUUGUCUCAGCAGGGCUCCGCCCGAGCUGCGCAGAAACGCGAUCUAGAGGAAAAGCCGUGGAGGUAUGUGGUCGGGCUUCCGUGGAAAAGUCGUCUCAAAUCAGCCCUAAAACCUCCGUAUAUAUAGGGGGAAGAGGGGGAGCCUUGCCUUGGGGUUCAAGGACCCCUAAGGGUUUCGGCCGAGCCAAGGGGGGAAGGUCUCCCCCCCCAAACCGAGUCCAACUUGGUUUGGAAGGUGGAGUCCUUCUUCCCUUUCCCACCUCCUCCUUUUUUUUCUUUUCUCUUUGAUGUUCUUCCUAUGGCGCAUAGGGCCUUCUUGGGCUGUCCCACCAGCCCACUAAGGGCUGGUGUGCCACCCCCAAGGCCUACGGGCUUCCCCGGGGUGGGUUGCCCCCCCCGGUGAACUCCCGGAACCCAUUCGUCAUUCUCGGUACAUUCCCGGUAACUCCGAAAACCUUCCGGUAAUCAAAUGAGGUCAUCCUAUAUAUCAAUCUUCGUUUCUGGACCAUUCCGGAAACCCUCGUGAUGUCCGUGAUCUCAUCCGGGACUCCGAACAGCAUUCCGUAACCAACCAUAUAACUCAAAUACGCAUAAAACAAUGUCGAACCUUAAGUGUGCAGACCCUGCGGGUUCGAGAACUAUGUAGACAUGACCCGAGAGACUCCUCGGUCAAUAUCCAAUAGCGGGACCUGGAUGCCCAUAUUGGAUCCUACAUAUUCUACGAAGAUCUUAUCGUUUGAACCUCAGUGCCAAGGAUUCAUAUAAUCCCGUAUGUCNNNNNNNNNNNNNNNNNNNNNNNNNNNNNNNNNNNNNNNNNNNNNNNNNNNNNNNNNNNNNNNNNNNNNNNNNNNNNNNNNNNNNNNNNNNNNNNNNNNNGUUUGAGACUGCAGAAUGCCAGUUCGUCCACUCCUGCACAAAACACAGUCAGCAAUGGCAGUCAGCGAGACAAGAAAAGCAAUAAAACUGAGAAGGUUAAAAGCACUCGACAACAUGUACUCACCUCAUUCGGAGGAGGGUUUUCGGCGCGGAAGGCCUUCACCCGCCGAGCUCCCACGGGGUUAUCACAUGUGCCCGUGAUGCUGCGGACCCACGCACUCACGGUCUCCUCGGUCACGUCUUCAGGAUGGGACCGAGUGGUAUCCAAAGGCCCCGUGUAAUGCCACAUUGCGUGGUCUUGGGCCUCGAGCGGCUGGAUGCGUCGACCCAGAAAAGUCUCCAACAGGUCCAUGCCGGCGACUCCCUUCCGGACGACGGCUAGCAGCGCGUCGACCAAAGGCUGGAUCUGAGUUCUUUCUCCCUUAGAGAGCGCUAGCUUCGUGGGAGGGCCCGGACGGUCUAAACCGAAGGGUGGUAACCCACUCGAAGCAUUCGGGCAGGCAAUGUCCUGGCAAUAGAACCAGGAUGAUUGCCAGUUCCUAACCGACUCGGAUAGCUAAAGGGAGGGAUAACUACUUUUCGUUUUCUUCUGAAAUCCUAAACCCGAGCAGAACUGGAGGAUGUGUGUCUUAUCAUCAGACUGGCUAAGCUUCUUAACAGUUUGAGAUCUAGCGGGAAAACAUAUUUGAAGAGCCCCCAGUGGGGAGGACAUCCUAUGAAGCACUCACAGAGGGNNNNNNNNNNNNNNNNNNNNNNNNNNNNNNNNNNNNNNNNNNNNNNNNNNNNNNNNNNNNNNNNNNNNNNNNNNNNNNNNNNNNNNNNNNNNNNNNNNNNCGGAAAGAUGAGCUAUCGCAUUCGGCGUAAAGUGAUGGAGCUGCGCCCCGAAGUAAUUCAUGAUACCUCGGAAGAAAGGAUGGGGAGGCAGGGAGAAACCUCUGGCCACGUGGCUGAGCAGUAGAACGCGCUCCCCCUCCUUCGGCGUCGGCUCCAUCUCGCCUUCCGGCAGCCUUCAAGACUUGUUGACGACCAUGCCGUGCUCCACCAGCUCCAGCACGUCGUUCUCCCUCACCGUGGAGGGGAGGAAGUCCCCUUGGAUCCAGCGCGCCGGCAACGCCAGCUGCCGCCGCUGAGUGGAGGCCGCCCCCUUCUUCUUCUUCUUCGCCUCAAGCUUGCUGGUCUGCCCCUUCGUCAUGGCGAGGGCGACGGAUCCGCAGAGGAGGAGGGGAAGGAGGUGGCUUGAGGUGUGCACGGAGUUGCGGGGGGGGGGGGNNNNNNNNNNAUAUCCAGCCCGCCGGCAACGCCCGCUGCCGCCACUAAGUAGAAGCUGCCCCCUUCGUCUUCUUCUUCGCCUCAAGCUUGCUGGUCUGCCCCUUCAUCAUGGCGAGGGCGACGGAUCCGCAGAGGAGGACGGGAAGGAGGUGGCUUGAGGUGUGCAGGGAGUUGCGGGGGGCGAGAUCAAUGGGAAGAGGACGAGCAGCACAACAGGAAGGUCCGCCGGGAAGGCUUUAAUAGGCCUCCGACUGGGUCACCUACAGGUGGGCCCAAGAUCUUAUCCUCCCAACCGACUGCUGCAAGAUUAGUGGAGAAUAUCGCGGAGCGGUAAUCGAGGAGGCGAAAUCUACUCGAUGGCGAAGUCGUCAUCCCCGCUGAGCGCGCGGCAAUCGAAAUUUGAGGAUCCCGGAAAAUCCGGCGCUCUUAGUAUGACCGGUCACGUCGAAAGAUUAGGCAGAAGCAAUCGGUCCCUCACGGGUCGUUUCGCUUGCAUAUUCACUCGAAUCACUAGCCGCAAAGAUAAAAUGGAUCGAGGCAGACAACGCUAAGAUCACCUCAAUACNNNNNNNNNNNNNNNNNNNNNNNNNNNNNNNNNNNNNNNNNNNNNNNNNNNNNNNNNNNNNNNNNNNNNNNNNNNNNNNNNNNNNNNNNNNNNNNNNNNNAGAACAACCAUUAUUCUCUGACUUAAAAGAGUAACCGUCUCGCAAUAAACAAGAUCCAGAUAUAAUGUUCAUGCUCAACACAGGGACUAAAUAACAAUGAUUCAAGUUCAUAACUAAUCCUGAUGGUAACUGAAGUGAAACUGUGCCGACGNNNNNNNNNNNNNNNNNNNNNNNNNNNNNNNNNNNNNNNNNNNNNNNNNNNNNNNNNNNNNNNNNNNNNNNNNNNNNNNNNNNNNNNNNNNNNNNNNNNNNNNNNNNNNNNNNNNNNNNNNNNNCUACGUGCAUCGUCACUUCAUCUUUCGCCAGCCCUCGUCUAUUCCGCAGUUCCUGUUUCGAGUUGCAAAUAUGAGCAACAGAACCGGUAUCGAAUACCCAUGCACUACUACGAGAGCCGGUUAAGUACACAUCAAUAACAUGUAUAUCAAAUAUACCUGAUUUUUCUUUGGCCGCCUUCUUAUUAGCCACAUACUUGGGGCAAUUGCGCUUCCAGUGACCCAUACCCUUGCAAUAGUAACACUCUGUUUCAGGCUUAGGUCCAGCUUUGGGUUUCUUCGUCGGAUUGGCAACAGGCUUGCCGCUCUUCUUUGAAUUACCCUUCUUGCCUUUGCCGUUUCUCUUGAAACUAGUGGUCUUAUUCACCAUCAACACUUGAUGCUCUUUACGGAGUUCAGACUCUGCGACUUUCAGCAUCGCAAACAACUCGCCGGGAGACUUGUUCAUCCCUUGCAUGUUGUAGUUAAACACAAAACCUUUAUAGCUUGGCGGCAGUGAUUGAAGGAUUCUAUCAGUGAUAGCCUCUUGCGCGAGUUCAAUCCCCAGCUCAGCUAGACGGUUUGAGUACCCAGACAUGUUGAGCACAUGUUCACUAACAGACGAGUUCUCCCUCCAUCUUGCAAGCAUAGAAUUUAUCGGAGGUCUCAUACCUCUCGAUCCGGGUGUUCUUCUGAAAGAUAAACUUCGACUCCUGGAACAUCUCAAAUGCUCCAUGACGCUCAAAGCGACGUUGAAGUCCCGGUUCUAAGCCAUACAAGACUGCACAUUAAACUACUGAGUAGUCCUCCUUACGUGCUAACCAAGAGUUCUUAAAAUCCUAAUCAGCCGUAGCGGGUGGUUCAUCUCCUAGCGCAGCAUUAAGGACAUAAUCCUUCUUUCCAGCUUGUAAGAUUAGCUUAACAUUACGAGCCCAGUCUACAAAGUUGCUUCCAUCAUCUUUCAACUUAGCUUUCUCUAGGAACGUAUUAAAAUUCAGGGUGACUGUUGCGUGAGCCAUUGAUCUACAACACAAAUAUUGCAAAGUGGACUUAGACUAUGUCUAAGAUAAUUAGAGUUUAAUUAAUCAAAUUACUAAUAAACUCCCACUCAAAAAGUACAUCUCUCUAGUCAUUUGAGUGGUACAUGAUCCAAAUUCACUAACUCAAGUCCGAUCAUCACGUGAGUUGAGAAUAGUUUCAGUGGUAAGCAUCUCUAUGCUAAUCAUAUCAACUAUACGAUUCAUGCUCGAUCUUUCGGUCUCAUGUGUUCUGAGGCCAUGUAUGCACAUGCUAGGCUCAUUAAGUUUAACCCGAGUGUUCUGCGCGUGCAACUGUUUUGCACCCGUUGUAUGUGAACGUUGAGUCUAUCACACCCGAUCAUCACGUGGUGUCUCGAAACGACGAAAUGUCGCGACGGUGCACAGUUGUGGAGAACACAAUUUCAUCUUGAAAUUUUAGUGAGAGAUCACCUUAUAAUGCUACCGUCGUUCUUAGCAAAAUAGGGUGCAUAAAAGGAUUAACAUCACAUGUAAUUCAUAAGUGACAUGAUAUGGCCAUCAUCUUGUGCUUCUUGAUCUCCAUCACUUAAGCACCAGCAUGAUCUUCUUGUCACCGGCGCCACACCAUGAUCUCCAUCAUCAUGAUCUCCAUCAACGUGUCGCCAUCGAGGUUGUCAUGCUAUUUAUGCUAUUACUACUAAAGCUAUGACCUAGCAAUAUAGUAAACGCAUCUGCAAACACAAACGUUAGUUUAAAGACAACCCUAUGGCUCGUGCCGGUUGCCGUAGCAUCGACGUGCAAGUUGAUUUAACUAUUAGAACAUGAUCAUCUCAUACAUCCAAUAUAUCACAUCACGUCAUUAGCCAUAUCAUAUCACAAGCAUACCCUGCAAAAACAAGUUAGACGCCCUCUAAUUUGUUGUUGCAUGUUUUACGUGGCUGCUAUGGGUAUCUAGUAUGAUCGCAUCUUACUUAUCAAAAACCACAACGGAGAUGUGAAAAUUGCUAUUUAACCUCUCCAAGGACCGCCUCGGUCAAAAGCAAUUCAACUAAAGUUGAAGAAACAGGCACCCGCCAGUCAUCUUUAUGCAACGAGGUUGCAUGUCAAUUGAUGAAACCAGCCUCUCGUAAGCGUACGAGUUAUGUCAGUCCGGGCCGCUUCAAUCCAACAAUACCGCCGAAUCGAGAAAAGACUAAGGAGGGCAGCAAAUCGACCAUCACCAUCCACAAAACCUUUUGUGUUCUACUCGAGAUAACAUCUAUACAUGAACCUAGCUCUGAUACCACUGUUGGGGAACGUUGCAUGGGAAACAAAAAAUUUCCUACGCACACGAAUACCUAUCAUGGUGAUGUCCAUCUACGAGUGGAGAUUAGAUCUAUGUACCCUUGUAGACUACUCAGCGGGAAGCGUUAAGAAACGCGGUUGAUGUUGGAACAUCUUCACGUCCCUCGAACCGUCUCACAAACCGUCCCGCGAUCCGUCCCACAUCCGUUCCGAUCUAGCGCCGAACGAACGACACCUCCACGUUCAGCACACGUACAGCUCGACGAUGAUCUCGUCCUUCUUGAUCCAGCAAGCAAAAUCGAGAUCUAGAUGAGUUCUCCAGCAGCGUGACGGAGCUCCGGUGGUGGUGAUGAUCUACUCUUGUAGGGAUCCGCCCGAGCUUCGUAGAAAUCGAUCUAGAGGUAAAACUAUGUGGAAUAGGCUAGAGUUGCACGUGGCAAAGUUGUGUCUCAAAAAGCACUAAGCCACCACUAUAUAUAGGAGGAAGGGGAGGGGCUAGCCUUGAGGCACAAGGCUUCAAGGUGCGCCGGCCGCCAGGAGGAGGAGGACUCCUCCUCCAAUUCGGUUUGGGAAGGAGGAGUCCUCCUCUUCCUUCCCACCUCCCUCUUUCCUUUUUUCUUCUUCUUUUCUUUUGGUAUUUUCUUAUGUGGCACCAUAGCCCUCUUGGGCUGACUCCACCAGACCAAUAAGGACUUGGUGCACCACCCUAGGGCCUUGGUCUCACUCCCGGGUGGGUGGGCCCUUUCCGGUAAACACCCGGAACCCAUUCGUCACUCUCGGUACAUUACAGGAAUUGCCCAAUACUUUCCGGUGACCAAAUGAAACCAUCCUAUAUAUGAAUCUUCGUUUACGGGCCAUUCCGGUAACUCUCGUGACGUCCGUGAUCUCAUUCGGGACUCCUAACAACAUUCGGUAACCACACAUAUAACUCAACUAUACUAGAACAUCACCGAACCUUAAGUGUGCAGACCCUGCGGGUUCGAGAACUAUGUAGACAUGACCCGAGGCACUCCUCGGUCAAUAUCCAAUAGAGGGACUUGGAUGCCCAUAUUGGAUCCUACAUAUUCUCCGAAGAUCUUAUCGGUUGAACCUCAGUGUCAAGGAUUCAUAUAAUCCUGUAUGUCAUUCCCUUUGUCCUUCGGUAUGUUACUUGCCCGAGAUUUGANNNNNNNNNNNNNNNNNNNNNNNNNNNNNNNNNNNNNNNNNNNNNNNNNNNNNNNNNNNNNNNNNNNNNNNNNNNNNNNNNNNNNNNNNNNNNNNNNNNNGGAUACCUUUGCUUGGAAGGAGUCAGGACUUCGGAAACAUAAUAUACUGGCCGCUGAACCUUGUACGCUUUGCCUUCUUCUUCACGUUCGACUGUCAGAACGGUGUUGACGACUUGAUUUGUAGCCGCGAUGUACAGAAGAAGGGGUUCUUUACUUAGCGGGGCAGUAAGAACCGGAUGGGUGGAGAGCAGGGCUUUGAGGUCGUCGAAUGCGGUUUGGGCUUCGUCUGUCCACUCGAAGGUAUCCGACUUCUUCAUGAGUCGGUACAGAGGUAACGCCUUCUCACCGAGUCGAGCGAUAAACCUGCUCAAAGCCGCUAGGCAACCUGUGAGCUUUUGUAUGUCAUGUACUCUUACCGGCCGCUCCAUUCGAACAAUGGUCCCGAUCUUCUCGGGGUUAACGUCGAUCCCUCGUUCGGAAACAAAGAAACCGAGUAACUUCCCGCUGGGAACGCCGAAUGAACACUUGGCUGGGUUGAGCUUGAUAUCGUACCUACGUAGGUUGGCGAAUGUUUGUGCCAAGUCGGUCAGUAGGUCGGAACCUUUGCGUGACUUGACUACGAUAUCGUCCAUAUAUGCCUCCACAUUUCGACCAAUCUGGUCUAGGAGGCAUUUUUGGAUCAUUCGCAUAAAAGUUGCUCCUGCAUUCUUCAAACCGAAUGGCAUAGUGAUGUAACAGAAGCACCCGAAUGGGGUGAUGAAAGAUGUUUUUAAUUCAUCUGGACCAUACAGACGGAUCUGAUGAUAGCCCGAAUAGGCAUCAAGGAAGGAUAAGCGCUCGCAACCCGCAGUCGAAUCAACAAUUUGAUCAAUGCGGGGGAGCGGGAAGUGGUCUUUCGGACGUACCUUAUUAAGGUGCUUGAAAUCGAUGCACAUACGGAGAGACUUGUCCUUCUUGGGCACCAUGACCACAUUAGCAAGCCACUUGGAGUGGUGUACCUCGCGAAUGAAGUUGGCCGCCAGAAGUUUAGCUACCUCCUCUCCGAUUGCUUUUCUCUUGUGCGCGGCGGACCGACACAGGCCUUCUCGGACCGGCCGAGCGGCAGGAUCCACAUGCAGUCGGUGCUCAGCCAACUCCCUGGGUACACCUGGCAUGAUAGCAGGCUUCCAUGCAAAAAUGUCCCAGUUCUCACGGAGGAAUUGGAUGAGCUCGACUUCCUAUUUUGGAUCAAGGGUGGUGGAGAUGUUUGUUGGGGUGGCGGUGGCAUCCGUCGGGUGGACGCUUACUUUCUUCGUGUCUCUCGCCGGCUGGAAUGCGGACUCGGAAGCUCGCUUCUUUGAACGCAUCAGGUCAGCUGGGUCGACAAUCUUCUUGUACUCAUCCAACUCGAGUACAGCCAUCUGCUGGUCUGCAAUUCUCGACCCCUGCUGCAGACACUCCUCGGCCCGCUGCCGAUUGCCUGUGACAGUAAUCACGCCUUUGGGGCCAGGCAUCUUCAGCUUCAAAUAUACGUAACAUGGACAGGCCAUGAAACAUACGUAUGCCGGACGGCCCAGAAUGGCAUGGUAUGCACUCUGGAAGUUUACCACCUCGAAUGUUAACUUCUCUUUGUGGAAGUUCUUGUCAGAGCCGAAAACGAAAUCCAACGCAAUCUGGCCGAGUAAUUUGGCCUUUCUUCCUAGGACGACUCCAUGGAAUUGCAUACUGCUCUCGCUAACUCUGGACAUCGAAAUGCCCAUUCCCUUGAGAGUAUCAGUGUACAUGAUAUUCAAGCCGCCGUCGCCGUCCAUGAGGACUUUGCGCAGCCUAACUCCUUCCACCACCGGGUCGACAACCAGAGCUUGCCUCCCUGGGGUGGGUACGUGUGCUGGGUGGUCUGACUGAUCAAAGGUGAUUGCAGUCUAUGACCACUUGAGGAACGUGGAAGUGCAUGGGGUUGCCAUGUUUACCUCCCUGUUGACCAGCUUUAGUCGACUUUUUCUUUCUACAUCAACAAAAAUCAUUAACGUUGCAUGGACUUGAGGGAACGGAUCCUCCUUGUCCUCAUCAUCUUGCUCGGUGUCUUCCUCACUCGGCUGUCCUACACCGAAUCCUUGGAUCAGGAGGCGACACUCCCCAGUGGUAUGUUUCGGCAAUAUGACAUUGCCUUCUUCAUCCGUCUUCGUGUGGAUUGGACACGGUUGAUCUAGGAUGGAAUUUCUGAUUGUUUCUUCUUGGGGGUGUACUGUGCUUUCCCCUUGCCUUUGAACUUAGUGUUUGUAACGACUACCGCCUCUGCUAGCGGAGUGGAUUGAGCUUUCUGUUUCUGCUUCCGACUGCUGUUCCCAUCUCCAUCAGCGACUGACUUAUGCUUGCCGCUACGUAUGCGGUCCUCCUCUUCGCCAUUUGCAUAGCGCGCGGCUAUCUCCAUCAUUUUGCUCAUGGAGAUGUCGCUUGUCCGACCAAACUUCAGGCAUAGAUCUCUGUACCGAACGCCUGCCUUGAAGGUGCAAACUGCUUGGUGUUCUGUAACAUUCUCCAUCAUGUGGUAGAGGGUCGUCCACCGUUGGAUGAAAUCGCGCAAGGGCUCGUUUUAAUUCUGGACACAGUGCUGAAGCUCUAUGAGACCAGCACGGCGUUUGCACGUACCCUCAAAGGUCCUGAUGAAGACUCGGGACAGAUCUGCCCAACUGUAAAUGCUUGAUAGAGCUAACUAGUUUAGCCAAGCUCGAGCCGAACCGUCGAGCAUCAGUGGGAGAUGUUUCAUGGUGACAUGGUCAUCUCCGCCACCGAUCUGGACCGCCACUCUGUAGUCGUCUAACCAAGUUUCUGGUUUGGACUCUCCUGUGAAUUUGCUGAUUCCCGUCGCCAAUCGGAAGUUGGGAGGGAUGUCAGCCGAGCAGAUGGCCCGACUGAAGCACUUGGGACCAGAAAUAAUGGUCCUGCUUCCACUCAGACGGUCUCUAUCGUGACCAUCACGGUGGGCUCGACUUCUAUCGACCUUCUUCUGAGUGAUAUACCCUCUUGCAUCAGGCCUUUGCUCAUGCACACCACCGCCCGAACGAUGAUCAUCGUAAUGCCGGGGUCCGUAAGGCCCACUCCGCGGAGGAGUACGCUAACGGCGACGAUCUUCGGGAUGAGACCGAAUGGAAAGCGGAUUCCGACUCGGGUCCCUGGAACGGCUGCCCCCUUUGCGUCGCUAGUGAGAGUCGGGACUGAAAACCAAUCGAUGUGUGUUCGCUUGAACGGAAUUGUUGUGGAUCUUGUUGUGCGACUGGGAGACCGCCGAGUUUUGCUGCUGCGCCGUAUGUAACAAGGCACGAAUCUGCUCGAUUCCACUACCAGCCUCCAAAUCAGUCGGCUAGAGAGAAUCAGCUAUCCUGGCGGCUGCAGCCAAGUUGAGGAUGGGUGUGUGGAACACCUCGACGUUGCUCUGGCGAGUGCGUCCAUUGGAAGAACGAAGGUGCUGACGACGAGCGCCAUAUGAUUCUCCGAACUCAAGCUCGUUCCGACCAGUCCCGAGGGGACUUUCGUGGGAAUCGGCCAUGAGUACUUCGGCUGCAGGCCCGUGACCCUGAUACUCGGAAGGUAGUUCAGUCGGAACUGACUCCAAGCACUGGGAUGACGGCGGGACCACAACCGAUUCGAGCACCGCCACUUGAGAGGACAUGUUUUGUCACGCUAGGGCGUGUCGCACCCAACGCUGGAGCCGCGACCAACCGGAUCGCUUGUUGCGGUGCAUGACGGGGGCAAAGAUCGACACUCGGGUUGAUGGCUGGAGAAGAAGAAUGCCGCAGGAACUGGCACGGAAGUGCGUAGCGCCGCGACACAGAAGCGUCUCGAUGUCGACGGGCGCAUCCUGAAGCCAUGCCGAAUCAUCGGCGAUGAAGGAGAGUGCACAGAAGAGGAUCUCAUGACCCAUGCACAGAUCUCCGCUGGAUGACAUGACGAAAACAUGAAAUUGCAAACUCGCCGGAAGCCGCUUAGACGCCUGCCCCAUGGUGGGCGCCAACUGUCGUGGGUAUAAGUCUGACAAUAGAAGUAUGGGGUACGAAAGUAUAUGGGCAGAGCCUUAGCUACGGCAAGGAUGUAUGAGUUCAGGCCCCUCUAUGGUGGAGGUAAAAGCCCUACGUCUCAGUGCUCUUGGGAGCUUUGUGUCGAGUGUAUUGUGGGAUUACAGCAAGUGCCAACCCCUGUUCCAGUGGUGAAGGGCGGCUUAUAUAGAGUGCGCUGCCCUUCAUAAUGGCCCGGUGGAUAGGAGUGGAGUAGUGGCGAGUAAAGGCUGGCGUUACUGGUAACGUAAGCCUUAAAAAUGCUAGUUAUGGUGUAUGAAAACGCAUGACAGUUGCCCUCCUGGGAGGUUACGACGUACAGAGUGGAUUCCAGUCGGUACGUUAGAUAUGCUGCGAGUGGAUCGUCGCCGACUGAAUGAUGGGGGCGUCUUUAGUUUAGUCGGAACUGUCUAAGGGCCUUGUCCUCUAUGAAGGGUAGUCCUUGGGUAGGAUCUAUAGGGCAGACCUAUGACCCUACCCUGGGGCUAUAACCCCAUCAAUCAUGUUUUGCCCGUGGAAGAGGUUUAGUCAGCGGGUCUGCUACAUUCAGAUCCGUGUGCACUUUGCAAUUAUUCACGUCCUCUCCUUCGACGUAGUCGCGGAUGAGGUUGAAGCGUCGUUUGAUGUGUCUGGUCUUCUUGUGAAACCUCGGUUCCUUUGCUAGAGCAGUGGCACCAGUGUUGUCAUAGAACAGAGUUAUUGGAUUUAGUGCGCUCGACACAACUCCAAGAUCCGUCAUGAACUGCUUCAUCCAGACACCCUCCUUUCCUGCCUCCGAGGCAGCCAUGUACUCUGCUUCACAUGUAGAAUCUGCUACGACGCUUUGCUUGGAACUUCACGAGCUUACCGCACCCCCAUUAAGAAUAAAUACGUAUCCAUUUUGCGACUUAGAGUCAUCCGGAUCAGUGUCAAAGCUUGCGUCGAAGUAACCUUUUACGACGAGCUCUUCGUCACCUCCAUAAACGAGAAACAUUUCUUAGUCCUUUUCAGGUACUUCAGAAUAUUCUUGACCGCCGUCCAGUGAUCCACUCCUGGAUUACUCUGAAACCUGCCUGCCAUACUUAUGGCCAAGCUGAUGUCUAGUCUAGUGCAUAGCAUUGCAUACAUGAUAGAACCUAUGGCUGAAGCAUAAGGGAUGGAACUCAUUUGUUCUCUAUCUUCCGCAGUUGCUGGGCACCGAGUCUUACUCAAUUUUAUACCUUGUAACAUUGGCAAGAACCCUUUCUUGGACUGUUCCAUUUUGAACUUCUUCAAAACUUUAUCAAGGUAUGUGCUUUGUGAAAGUCCUAUCACGCGUCUUGAUCUAUCCCAAUAGAUCUUAAUGCCUAGAAUGUAAGCAGCUUCUCCUAGGUCCUUCAUAGAGAAUUUUUAUUCAAGUAAUCCUUUACGCUCUCCAAAAACUCCACGUUGUUUCCAAUCAGCAAUAUGUCAUCCACAUAUAAUGUUAGAAACGCCAUAGAGCUCCCACUCACUUUCUUGUAAAUACAAGAUUCUCCAACCACUUGUAUAAACCCAAAUGCUUUGAUCACCUCAUCAAAGUGCUUAUUCCAACUCCGUGAUGCUUGCACCAGUCCAUAAAUGGAUCGCUGGAGCUUGCAUACUUUGUCAGCAUUCUUUGGAUCGUCAAAACCUUCGGGUUGCAUCAUAUACAACUCUUCCUUAAGAAAACCAUUAAGGAACUCCGUUUUGACAUCCAUCUGCCAGAUUUCAUAAUCGAAAAAUGCAGCUAUUGCUAACAUGAUUCGGACGGACUUAAGCAUCGCUACCGGUGAGAAUGUCUCAUUGUAGUCAAUUCCUUGAACUUUUGAAAAACCCUUUGCCACAAGUCGAGCUUUGUAAAUGGCACAUUACCGUCUGCGUCCGUCUUCUUCUUAAAGAUCCAUUUGUUCUGAAUAGCCUUGCGGCCUUCAGGUAGUACUUCCAAAGUCCACACUUUGUUUUUGUACAUAGAUCCUAUCUUGGACUUCAUGGCCUCCAGCCAUUUGUUGGAAUCCGGGCCCACCAUUGCUUCUUCAUAAUUCGCAGGUUCAUUGUUGUCUAACAACAUGAUUGAUAAGACAGGAUUACCGUACCACUCAGGAGUAGUACGUGAUCUUGUCGACGUGCGAGGUCCGAUAGGAACUUGAUCUGAAGUUUCAUGAUCAUCAUCAUCAACUUCGUCCUCAACCGGCGUCACAACGAUAGGGGUUACCCCUUGCCCUGCGCCACCAUCUAGAGGGACUAGAGGCUCGAGAACCUCAUCCAGUUCUAUCUUCCUCCCACUCAAUUCUUUCGAGAGAAACUCCUUCUCAAGAAAAGCUCCAUUUUUAGCAACAAACACUUUGCCCUCGGAUUUGAGAUAGAAGGUGUACCCAACUGUCUCCUUUGGGUAACCUAUGAAGACACACCUUUCCGCUUUGGGUUCGAGCUUUUCAGGCUGAAGCUUUUUGACAUAAGCAUCACAUGCCCAAACUUUAAGAAACGACAACUUUGGUCUUUUGCCAUACCACAGUUCGUAUGGUGUCGUCUCAACGGAUUUUGAUGGGGCCCUAUUUAAAGUGAAUGCAGCUGUCUCUAAUGCAUAACCCCAAAACGAUAACGACAAAUCUAUAAGAGACAUCAUAGAUCGCACCAUUUCUAACAAAGUACGAUUACGACGUUCGGACACACCAUUACGUUGUGGUGUUCGAGGCGGUGUCAACUGUGAAACAAUUCCACAUUGUCUUAAGUGAGCACCAAACUCGAAACUCAGAUAUUCACCCCCACGAUCAGACCAUAGGAACUUGAUCUUCUUGUUACGAUGAUUUUCAACUUCACUCUGAAAUUGCUUGAACUUCUCAAACGUUUCAGACUUGUGCUUCAUCAAGUAGAUAUAUCCAUACCUACUCAAAUCGUCAGUGAAGGUGAGAAAAUAACAAUAUCAGCCGCGCGCCUCCACACUCAUCGGACAACACACAUCGGUAUGUAUGAUUUCCAUCAAGUCACUUGCACGCUCCAUUGUUUCGGAGAACGGAGUCUUAGUCAUCUUGCCCACGAGGCAUGGUUCGCACGUGUCAAGUGAUUCAAAGUCAAGUGACUCCAAAAGUCCAUCAGAAUGGAGUUUCUUCAUGCGCUUUACACCAAUAUGACCUAAGCGACAGUGCCACAAAAACAUGGCGCUAUCAUUGUUAACUCUAACUCUUUUGGUCUCAAUGUUAUGUAUUUGUGUAACACUGCUAUCAAGAUUCAAUAUGAACAAUCCUCUCACAUUGGGUGCAUGACCAUAAAAGAUACUACACAUAGAAAUAGAACAACCAUUAUUCUCUGACUUAAACAGGUAACCGUCUCGCAGUAAACAAGAUCCAGAUAUAAUGUUCAUGCUUAACGCAGGCACUAAAUAACAAUUAUUUAAGUUCAUAACUAUUCCUGAUGGUAAUGGAAGUGAAACUGUGCCGACGAUGAUUGCAUCAACCUUGGAACCAUUUCCCAUGCGCAUCAUCACUUCAUCCUUUGCCAGCCUUCGUUUAUUCCGCAGUUCUUGUUUCAAGUUGCAAAUAUGAGCAAUAGAACCGGUAUCAAAUACCCAGGCACUACUAUGAGAGUUGGUUAAGUACACAUCAAUAACAUGUAUAUCAAUAUACUUGAUUUUUCCAUGGCCGCCUUCUUAUCAGCCAAAUACUUGGGGGCAGUUGCGCUUCUAGUGACCCAGUCCCUUGCAAUAAUAACACUCUGUUUCAGGCUUAGGCCCAACCUUGGGUUGCUUCGUCGGAUUGGCAACAGGCUUGCCACUCUUAUUGGAGUUACCCUUCUUGCCUUUGCCGUUUCUCUUGAAACUAGUGGUCUUAUUGAACAUCAACACUUGAUGCUCUUUUCGAAGUUCUGACUCUGCGACUUUCAGCAUCGCGAAUAACUCGUCGGGUGACUUGUUCAUCCCUUGCAUUUUAUAGUUCAACACAAAGCUCUUGUAGCUUGGUGGCAGUGAUUGAAGAAUUCUGUCAGUGAUAGAUUCUUGCGGGAGUUCAAUGCCUAACUCAGCUAGACGGUUUGAGUACCCAGACAUUUUGAGCACAUGUUCACUGACAGACGAAUUCUCCUCCAUCUUGCAAGCAUAGAAUUUAUCAGAGGUCUCAUACCUCUCGAUCCGGGCGUUCUUCUGAAAGAUAAACUUCAACUCCUGGAACAUCUCAUAUGCUCCAUGACGCUCAAAGCGACGUUCAAGUCCCGGCUCUAAGCCAUACAAGACUGCACAUUUAACUACUGAGUAGUCCUCCUUACGUGUUAACCAGGCGUUCUUAACAUCUUGGUCAGCCGUAGCGGGUGGUUCAUCUCCUAGCGCAGCAUUAAGGACAUAAUCCUUCUUCCCAGCUUGCAGGAGCAACUUAAGAUUACGGGCCGAGUCUACAAAGUUGCUUCCAUCAUCUUUCAACUUAGCUUUCUCUAGGAACGUAUUAAAAUUCAGGGUGACUGUUGCGUGAGCCAUUGAUCUACAACACAAAUAUUGCAAAGUGGACUUAGACUAUGUCUAAGAUAAUUAGAGUUUAAUUAAUCAAAUUACUAAUAAACUCCCACUCAAAAAGUACAUCUCUCUAGUCAUUUGAGUGGUACAUGAUCCAAAUUCACUAACUCAAGUCCGAUCAUCACGUGAGUUGAGAAUAGUUUCAGUGGUAAGCAUCUCUAUGCUAAUCAUAUCAACUAUACGAUUCAUGCUCGAUCUUUCGGUCUCAUGUGUUCUGAGGCCAUGUAUGCACAUGCUAGGCUCAUUAAGUUUAACCCGAGUGUUCUGCGCGUGCAACUGUUUUGCACCCGUUGUAUGUGAACGUUGAGUCUAUCACACCCGAUCAUCACGUGGUGUCUCGAAACGACGAAAUGUCGCGACGGUGCACAGUUGUGGAGAACACAAUUUCAUCUUGAAAUUUUAGUGAGAGAUCACCUUAUAAUGCUACCGUCGUUCUUAGCAAAAUAGGGUGCAUAAAAGGAUUAACAUCACAUGUAAUUCAUAAGUGACAUGAUAUGGCCAUCAUCUUGUGCUUCUUGAUCUCCAUCACUUAAGCACCAGCAUGAUCUUCUUGUCACCGGCGCCACACCAUGAUCUCCAUCAUCAUGAUCUCCAUCAACGUGUCGCCAUCGAGGUUGUCAUGCUAUUUAUGCUAUUACUACUAAAGCUAUGACCUAGCAAUAUAGUAAACGCAUCUGCAAACACAAACGUUAGUUUAAAGACAACCCUAUGGCUCGUGCCGGUUGCCGUAGCAUCGACGUGCAAGUUGAUUUAACUAUUAGAACAUGAUCAUCUCAUACAUCCAAUAUAUCACAUCACGUCAUUAGCCAUAUCAUAUCACAAGCAUACCCUGCAAAAACAAGUUAGACGCCCUCUAAUUUGUUGUUGCAUGUUUUACGUGGCUGCUAUGGGUAUCUAGUAUGAUCGCAUCUUACUUAUCAAAAACCACAACGGAGAUGUGAAAAUUGCUAUUUAACCUCUCCAAGGACCGCCUCGGUCAAAAGCAAUUCAACUAAAGUUGAAGAAACAGGCACCCGCCAGUCAUCUUUAUGCAACGAGGUUGCAUGUCAAUUGAUGAAACCAGCCUCUCGUAAGCGUACGAGUUAUGUCAGUCCGGGCCGCUUCAAUCCAACAAUACCGCCGAAUCGAGAAAAGACUAAGGAGGGCAGCAAAUCGACCAUCACCAUCCACAAAACCUUUUGUGUUCUACUCGAGAUAACAUCUAUACAUGAACCUAGCUCUGAUACCACUGUUGGGGAACGUUGCAUGGGAAACAAAAAAUUUCCUACGCACACGAAUACCUAUCAUGGUGAUGUCCAUCUACGAGUGGAGAUUAGAUCUAUGUACCCUUGUAGACUACUCAGCGGGAAGCGUUAAGAAACGCGGUUGAUGUUGGAACAUCUUCACGUCCCUCGAACCGUCUCACAAACCGUCCCGCGAUCCGUCCCACAUCCGUUCCGAUCUAGCGCCGAACGAACGACACCUCCACGUUCAGCACACGUACAGCUCGACGAUGAUCUCGUCCUUCUUGAUCCAGCAAGCAAAAUCGAGAUCUAGAUGAGUUCUCCAGCAGCGUGACGGAGCUCCGGUGGUGGUGAUGAUCUACUCUUGUAGGGAUCCGCCCGAGCUUCGUAGAAAUCGAUCUAGAGGUAAAACUAUGUGGAAUAGGCUAGAGUUGCACGUGGCAAAGUUGUGUCUCAAAAAGCACUAAGCCACCACUAUAUAUAGGAGGAAGGGGAGGGGCUAGCCUUGAGGCACAAGGCUUCAAGGUGCGCCGGCCGCCAGGAGGAGGAGGACUCCUCCUCCAAUUCGGUUUGGGAAGGAGGAGUCCUCCUCUUCCUUCCCACCUCCCUCUUUCCUUUUUUCUUCUUCUUUUCUUUUGGUAUUUUCUUAUGUGGCACCAUAGCCCUCUUGGGCUGACUCCACCAGACCAAUAAGGACUUGGUGCACCACCCUAGGGCCUUGGUCUCACUCCCGGGUGGGUGGGCCCUUUCCGGUAAACACCCGGAACCCAUUCGUCACUCUCGGUACAUUACAGGAAUUGCCCAAUACUUUCCGGUGACCAAAUGAAACCAUCCUAUAUAUGAAUCUUCGUUUACGGGCCAUUCCGGUAACUCUCGUGACGUCCGUGAUCUCAUUCGGGACUCCUAACAACAUUCGGUAACCACACAUAUAACUCAACUAUACUAAAACAUCACCGAACCUUAAGUGUGCACACCCUGCGGGUUCGAGAACUAUGUAGACAUGACCCGAGGCACUCCUCGGUCAAUAUCCAAUAGAGGGACUUGGAUGCCCAUAUUGGAUCCUACAUAUUCUCCGAAGAUCUUAUCGGUUGAACCUCAGUGUCAAGGAUUCAUAUAAUCCUGUAUGUCAUUCCCUUUGUCCUUCGGUAUGUUACUUGCCCGAGAUUUGAUCGUCGGUAUCCGCAUACCUAUUUCAAUCUCGUUACCGGCAAGUCUAUUUACUCAUUCCGUAAUACAAGAUCCCGUGACUUACACUUAGUCACAUUGCUUGCAAGGCUUGUGUGUGAUGUUAUAUUACCGAGUGGGCCCCGAGAUACCUCUCCGUCACACGGAGUGACAAAUCCCAGUCUUGAUCCAUACUAACUCAAUGGACACCUUCGGAGAUACCUGUAGAGCACCUUUAUAGUCACCCAGUUACGUUGCGACGUUUGAUGCACACAAGGUAUUCCUUCGAUGCCAGUGAGUUAUAUAAUCUCAUGUUCAUAGGAAUAAAUACUUGACACGUAGAAAACAAUAGCAAUAAAAUGACACGAUCAAUAUGCUAUGUUGAUAGUUUGGGUCUAGUCCAUCACAUGAUUCUCCUGAUGAUGUGAUCCAGUUAUCAAGCAACAACACUUGCACAUAGUCAGAAAACCUUGACUAUCCUUGAUCAACUGGCUAGCUAACUAGAGGCUUGCUAGGGACAUCGUUUUGUCUAUGUACCCACACAUGUAUCUAUGAUUUCAUUCAAUACAAUUAUAGCAUGGAUAAUAAACGAUUAUCUUUGUAAUAGGAAAUAUAAUAAUAACUAUUUAUCAUUGCCUCUACGGCAUAUUUCCAACAGCGGCAACUUUGGCUGCGGGAGGAACCGGGGCGGUGGAGUGUUCGCGGGUGGCGGCGCUGUUGGCCGACAGCGGGCGCGCAACGGGGUGACCGGAGGGCGUAGUGCGGGGCGCCGGCGGGUCUCGGCCGGAGGGCGGCAACGCGACGCAGGUUUGACCAGAGCGGGGCUGGCGAAGGGGCUCUGGAUCGGGGCUCCUCCUCGAUGUGGAGCUCAGGCCCGAGGGGCGCGGAUGCGGCGGCGGCUUCGGGCCCGGGCGGGCUAGAGCGGUCCUGCGGCGCUGGUGGGAGGAGGAGAGGCUGCGCUAGGGUUUGAGGGGGCGCACGGAUCUUGAGGCAGGCCUGGGGCUGCCCGAUGUGGACGUGGGAAUGCCCAUUUAUAGAAGUUUUGUCUAGGGUUUGGGGUUUUCAUGGCCGAUUUUGACCGCGCGAUCGUGAUCAGACGUCCCCCGCCGCAGGGUGGGCUGGUUGGGCCGUGUAGAGUGGGUGUUGGGCUAAGACGAGAGGGAAAUGGUGCGACCCGGCGAUAGUGAUUUAAAACACCGAAAACGUCCGACGAUAACCCGCCGACGGUGCCGCUAUGGUCUACCGUUCGGCUAUCAAAGGGACUCCUAUUGCGGCGAAAAUUGGCACGCGACCUACCUACAUAAAAAUAAGACCGCACACCAAGUUUCAACCCAAUCCAAGAAUAUUUUAUACACACUUUUAAAAACAAAUAUUAGCGAUGCCGCGGGCGCAUGCGUGUGUGGUUGGUCUCAAAAUGGGCAACGACGAACACGGAGAGAACCGACAACUAAUAAUGGAUGCAGGUUUUGAAAACUGGCGGCAAUGGAGUGCCGAUGCAAUGCAGAUGAUGCGCAUGAUGCGAUGAUGAAUGCGACAGACAAACGAACCACACGACGGGAACGAAAUAAAAGGGGAACUUCUGGAGCGUCGGUCUCGGGAUGUCACACAUAUCACCGCAUGAAAUAUCCUCAAUUAUUUUAACAUAACAAUAACGUUUCCUUCAUCACAACAAACCAUACACAAAGGUAAUAUUCCAUGUUCAGAAUGCUUGCCUUGUUUGUGUAGAAAGGUAGGGUGCACUUCAAAACUUUUGAAAGUUUUCAAUCUUCCUCUUCAAAUUCCUAUUUUGAAAAUACUCAAAUCAACAUACCAUUCAAACAAAAGUAAAAAGUUAUUCGGAAAUUUUUCAAUUAAAUACUAAAAUAAACUAGAGAAAAAUUGAAAGAGGUGAGUAAAAGAAUCAACUCAUUUGGAGUUUUAUUUUAAAAGAUAUGACCAGUAAAAGAUUGGUCAAACUUCUGUUUUUAAAAUAAAUCAGAAAAGAAAGCGAUUCGGCUCACAUUAUGCUUUUACAGAAGGGAAUACAUACUUUGCACAAAUACACCUUCACUUAACGUGGCUCAAGCUCGGCUCUGUCGCUGACGAGUGGGGCCCUUCAUACAGGUUUGACUUUGGUCAAACCGGUCAUCUACCUCCUCCAAACAAGGGGAGGAGAGGCCUCCGGUGGCUCUUGACGGUGAUUGGGGGCACUACACCAAAAUCCGAGAGUAUCAACAUGCUCGGGGUCCCAAGGCAAUCCCAAAGGUGCGGGAUUUGGUCGGCGGAGAGCCUGGGAGCUCCAGCGGCUUCGAGGCGUGCGGACGGCGGCGCGGGUCCGCAAGGGAACUUUGCCCACGGCUCAUCUUGAGUGAAAUCGAGAGGGGGGAUGGGCUCGCGGUGCCAGUGUUAUUCCACCAAGGGGGAGAGCGAUGCAGGAUAAACUUCAUUGGCCUCGAAUUUAACUACAGGGGCGGCGGCCGAACCUCGGCCGGAGGUGAGGAAGACGACCUCCCCCGGUCGAUUGGUUGCAAUGGGAGCUUGAGAGGGGCCGGAGAGGUUCCUCUGAGGGUCUGGGAAAACCCGGGGGUCCCUUAUAUACGCAAUCAAGGUCGUUUCCGAGCGGCAACGGAUAACUCUGACGAACUAUUGCUAACAAGAGAUGUGGCGGCGACUAACGGGGACAGGCGCUAGCAGACGAGCUAGCGGAUGAGCUCGAGCUAUU
rnacentral:lncRNA from 1 species